rnacentral:lncRNA from 1 species
UUUUGUUUUUUUUUGUUUUUUCUCUUUUUUUUUGAGGCCGGUUGCUAGCAGACGUCAGGGACACAAAGCAAGGCUACUGGACAAAGGUGCUACGAGAGCUAGCUAUACGUGCACUGGUGUUGGGAUUACCUAAAACUAGUAGUACUAAUGCAUAGAAACAGUAGGCUACUGGUGGAGAGUGUUGGAUGUCUGGCGUGGUGCGUGUGGUGAAGCGGCGCUGGCGGGCUCUAGCAAAGCAAGCGCGUGGAUGGAUGGGCGGACGUACGGUGUCAGACACGGAUGAUUGUCUGUCUGGCCGUAAGCUGCUGCUGUGCGAUGGUGAUUUUGUGCGAUCAAAUCAUCGACUGAUAAAAAUAUAGCAAAGAAAAACACAGGCGUCCGGAGGUAAUAAGAAUCGGAAACAAUCGAUCGCAAUAUUUUUUUUUGAUCGUGAACGAGCGGAAGGGAUUAUGUGGGUGGACAAAAACAGAUUGAUCUAGUAGAUAAUUUUACACCCUAACCAAUCUAAACCAGCACUAAUUCUAGGAUGAAUGUAACCAAAAAUUCAACGAUGCAAAUACUAGAUGCAAAAACUGCUAAAGGCUAAAAAGGUAGGUGUGAUGGAUGAACUAAUCUAUUUUUUUUGGCUUUUUUGUGGGUCUAUGGGACAGAAAAUAACUAAUCUAAUAAAACUGUAAAUCUCUCACCGAUGAACCUGAAAACUGAUACCACUUGAUGUGACGGCGGCCCGAUCUUUCGAUGAGAGUGGGGAUAAUUAUCGAUUUGGUGGAUUUUGACCUUGACGAUCCGGCUAUACCGUACCCGACGAUACGCCUCGACAAUUGCUAACCAAUCUCCGAUGGUUAUUGACCUUGCCGUAGGCACGAUCAACCUGAACAACGAGGUUCGAGUUCCUGCAAGCAACCGAAGAACCAGCAAGAACAAAGGUGAAUUGCAACUGAAAUUGCAGAUAAUAAACUGAGCACACGAACUAGAUGAAAAAGUUGGGGUUCCACUGUGGAUCUGACAAGGCGGUAGUCCUACACGUCUCGUAGAUGCGAAUUGUAGCGAUGGCUAGACAAUACAAUAAAACCCGAGUCUAAACCCUAACUUAAUCUAGCUAUUUAUUAAAGCAUAUGCCGCCUGGGGCUGAUCAGACACCGGUCCGUACGGCGACCAAGUGCUGCACGUAGGAAGUAGUCAAAUCGUGUUGGCCCACCAUGGCCCAAAACGUGGUGUCUCUUGGUCCAUGCAACAAAAAUCAAUUGGCUUGGGUCUUGUGGCGUCUGCUUCCUGUACCAUGGCAUGCACGAUGGAUGGGAUGGAUGGUGCGGUGUGUGCAUGCAUGCAAGGACGGUUGAGAGCAUGCAUGCAAAGAGUGUUGUUCCAUUUGGUUUAAAGGCUGCCCUUCAAUUGAUUGUUUGAUCCCUUGAUUUCUAAGUACAAUUAAAUCAGAACAUGAGUGUAAUAUCAUAUUCUCAUUAGCUAAAUCAUAUGUACAAAGGAGCGAUAGUACCUGGCCAUUUAUUUGUCUCGCUCGCGCUCUAGUAAUAGGACCAGGUGGAAUAACUGAUGUAGGAGUCGCGGCGGGUGUAACAAUAGAAGAGAUGUCCUCAUCACAGGGCUUCGCCAAGCACUACGGAGGAGGAUGAGGUUUUGGAGAAGGAAGAGGGCUGCGCCAGGGGAGAGGUUGCGGCUGCCCUUUCUCUCCCUCACUAUAUAUAGGGGGAAGGGAGGAGGGGGAGGCGCCCUAGGGUUCCCGAGGGGAAGGGCGGCGGCCACAGGGGAAACCCUAGAUGGGUUUGGGCGCCCCCACCCCUAGGAAACUUGGCCCCCAAGCCGGGAGGGGCGGCUGCCCUAGGGGUGGCGCCCCCACCUCUCCUGGUUACGUGAGAUGGGGUGGGAGGGGCGCUCAGCCCCUUAUUGGGCUGAUGUGCCCUCUCCCCUUGGCCCAUAAGGCCCCCCAACGCUUGCCGGGGCCUCCGAAACCCCUUUCGGACACGCUGGUCAUCACCUGGUAACCCCGGAACAAUUCCGGACUCCAAUACCCUUCGUCCAAUAUACCGAUCCUCACCUCCGGACCAUUCCGGAGCUCCUCGUCAUGUCUGAGAUCUCAUCCGGGACUCCGAACAACCUUCGGUAACCACAUACUAUUUCCCAUAACAACUCUAGCGUCACCGAACCUUAAGUGUGUAGACCCUACGGGUUCGGGAACCAUGCAUACAUGACCGAGACAACUCUCCGGCCAAUAACCAACAGCAGGAUCUGGAUACCCAUGUUGUCUCCCACAUGUUCCACGAUGAUCUCAUCGGAUGAACCACGAUGUCGAGGAUUCAAUCAAUCCCGUAUUCAAUUCCCUUUGUCCAGCGGUAUUGUACUUGCCCGAGAUUCGAUCGUCGGUAUCCCGAUACCUUGUUCAAUCUCGUUACUGGCAAGUCUCUUUACUCGUUCCGUAACACAUCAUCCCGUGAUCAACUCCUUGGUCACAUUGUGCACAUUAUGAUGAUGUCCUACCGAGUGGGCCCAGAGAUACCUCUCCGUUUACACGGAGUGACAAAUCCCAGUCUCGAUUCAUGCCAACCCAACAGACACUUUCGGAGAUACCUGUAGUGUACCUUUAUAGCCACCCAGUUACGUUGUGAUGUUUGGCACACCCAGAGCACUCCUACGGUAUCCGGGAGUUGCACAAUGUCAUGGUCUAAGCUUUAGCAAACGAACUACACGAUCUUGAGCUACGCUUAGGAUUGGGUCUUGUCCAUCACAUCAUUCUCCCAAUGAUGUGAUCCCGUUAUCAACGACAUCCAAUGUCCAUGGUCAGGAAACCGUAACCAUCUAUUGAUCAACGUGCUAGUCAACUAGAGGCUUACUAGGGACAUGGUGUUGUCUGUGUAUCCACACAUGUAUCUGAGUUUCCUAUCAAUACAAUUCUAGCAUGGAUAAUAAAUGAUUAUCAUGAAUAAUGAAAUAUGAUAAUAACUAAUUUAUUAUUGCCUCUAGGGCAUAUUUCCAAUAGUAACAGAUAGUUUUGUGAUAGGAUAAAUUGUAACGAGCAACAAGUAACAAAAGUAAAUAAAGUGCAGCAAGGUGGCCCAAUCCUUUUGUAGCAAAGGACAAGCCGGAACAAACUCUUAUAAUAGGAAAAGCGCUCCCAAGGACACAUGGGAAUAUCGUCAAGCUAGUUUUCAUCAUGUUCAUAUGAUUCGUGUUUGAUACUUUGAUAAUUUGAUAUGUGGGUGGACCGGUGCUUGGGUGCUGUUCUUACUUGAACAAGCAUCCCACUUAUGAUUAACCUCUAUUGCAAGCAUCCGCAACUACAACAAAAGUAUUAAGGUAAACCUAACCAUAGCAUGAAACAUAUGGAUCGAAAUCAGCCCCUUACGAAGCAACGCAUAAACUAGGGUUUAAGCUUCUAUCACUCUAGCAACCCAUCAUCUACUUAUUACUUCCCAAUGCCUUCCUCUAGGCCCAAAUAAUGGUGAAGUGUUAUGUAGUCGACGUUCACAUAACACCACUAGAGGCUAGACAACAUACAUCUUAUCAAAAUAUCAAACGAAUACCAAAUUCACAUGACUACUCAUAGCAAGACUUCUCCCUUGUCCUCAGAAACGAACGUAAUUACUCACAAAGCAUAUUCAUGUUCAUAAUCAGAGGGGUAAUAAUAUGCAUAUAGGAUCUGAACAUAUGAUCUUCCACCAAAUAAACCAACUAGCAUCAACUACAAGGAGUAAUCAACACUACUAGUAACCUACUAGCACCAAUCCCGGACUUUGAGACAAGAAUUGGAUACAAGAGAUGAACUAGGGUUUGGAGAUGAGAUGGUGCUGGUGAAGAUGUUGAUGGAGAUUGCCCUCUCCCGAUGAGAGGAGCGUUGGUGAUGACGAUGGUGAUGAUUUCCCCCUCCCGGAGGGAAGUUUCCCCAGCAGAACAGCUCUGCCGGAGCUCUAGAUUGGAUCCGCCAAGGUUCCGCCUCGUGGCGGCGGAGUCUCGUCCCAAAAAGUUCCUCUCUAUUUUUUUCUCAUCGAAAGACCUCAUAUAGGAGAAGAUGGGCAUCGGAGAGCCACCAGGGGGCCCACGAGGUAGGGGGGCGCGCCCCCACCCUCAUGAGAAGGGUGUGGGCCCCCUGGCCUUCAUCUUUGGCAUGGAUUUUUCUUUAUUUAUUUUAAGACGUUCCGUGGAGUUUUAGGACUUUUGGAGUUGCGCAGAAUAGGUCUCUAAUAUUUGCUCCUUUUCCAGACUAGAAUUCCAGCUGCCGGCAUUCUCCCUCUUUAUGUAAACCUUGUAAAAUAAGAGAAAAUAGCCAUAAGUAUUGUGACAUAAAGUGAAAUAACAGUCCAUAAUGCGAUAAAUAUCGAUAUAAAAGCAUGAUGCAAAAUGGACGUAUCAACUCCCCCAAGCUUAGACCUCGCUUGUCCUCAAGGGAAAAGCUGAUAACAAUAAAUAUGUCAUCAUUUUUAGAGGUAGAGGCGUCGCUAAAAAUAAAAUACGGACAUGAAGGCAUCAUGAUUAUUCUCAUAAUAGCAACAUAUAUAGAUUUUGUCAUAUGAUUACUUAUGUUCAAGUGAUGAUCUAUUCACAAUGCAAAAGUAUAAAUCAUAAACCUUAUUGGGCUCCGACAAACUAUAAUCUCAGUCACUGAAGCAAUUGCAAUUUAUCAUAACAUCGGAAAGAGUCUAUGUCAGAGCUAAAAAGCAAGUCCACAUACUCAACUAUCAUUUAGUCCUCCAUAAUUGCUAACACUCACGCGAUACUUGUGGUUACGGAGUUUUAAUCGGACAUAGAGAAAGAUAGGGGCUUAUAAUUUUGCCCCACAAUAUUUUACCUCAAGGGUAAUGNNNNNNNNNNNNNNNNNNNNNNNNNNNNNNNNNNNNNNNNNNNNNNNNNNNNNNNNNNNNNNNNNNNNNNNNNNNNNNNNNNNNNNNNNNNNNNNNNNNNNNNNNNNNNNNNNNNNNNNNNNNNNNNNNNNNNNNNNNNNNNNNNNNNNNNNNNNNNNNNNNNNNNNNNNNNNNNNNNNNNNNNNNNNNNNNNNNNNNNNNNNNNNNNNNNNNNNNNNNNNNNNNNNNNNNNNNNNNNNNNNNNNNNNNNNNNNNNNNNNNNNNNNNNNNNNNNNNNNNNNNNNNNNNNNNGCCAAAGGAUAAAAUGAAAAAGAAAAGGUGAAGAUCACCAUGACUCUUGCAUAAGGUAGAAGAUAAUAAUAAAGGAUAGGCCCUUUGCAGAGGGAAGCAGAGGUUGCCAUGCGCUUUUAUGGUUGGAUAUAUAAAAUCUCAAUGCGAAAGAACGUCACUUUAUAUUGCCCCUUGUGAUAUGAACCUUUAUUAUGCAGUCUGUCGCUUUUAUUACUUCCACAUCACAAGAUCAUAUAAAGCUUAUUUCUCCCACACCAAUCAAUCAUACAUAUUUAGAGCAAUUUUUAUUGCUUUGCACCGAUGACAACUUACUUGAAGGAUCUUACUCAAUCCAUAGGUAGAUAUGGUGGACUCUCAUGGCAAAACUGGUUUAAGGGUAUUUGGAAGCACAAGUAGUAUUUCUACUUGGUGCUGAGAAUUUGGCUAGCAUGAGGGGGAAGCUCAACAAGUUAGAGGAUCCAUGACAACAUACUUUAUCUCAGAUAUAAGAAAUACAUAACUCAUUACAUUGUCUUCCUUGUCCAACAUCAACUCUUUAGCAUGUCAUAUUUUAAUGAGUGAUCCCAAUCAUAAAAGAUGUCAACGAUAAUAUAUCUAUAUGUGAAAACCUCUCUUUCCUUAUUACUUCCUGUCGGUGUCAAAACUGGCGGAUCUCGGGUAGUGGGUCCCGAACUGUGCGUCUAGGCCGGAUGGUAACAGGAGGCAGGGAACACGAUGUUUUACCCAGGUUUGGGCCCUCUUGAUGGAGGUAAAACCCUAUGUCCUGCUUGAUUAAUAUUGAUGAUAUGGGUAGUACAAGAGUAGAUCUACCACAAGAUCAAGGAGGCUAAACCCUAGAAGCUAGCCUAUGGUAUGAUUGUUGUAUAUGGAGUUGAUUGCCUACGGACUACAACCCUCCGGUUUAUAUAGACACCGGAUAGGGUUAGGGUUACAUAGAGUCGAUUACAAUGGUAGGAGAUCUUGAAUAUCCGCAUCGCCAAGCUUGCCUUCCACGCCAAGGAAAGUCCCAUCCGGACACGGGACGAAGUCUUCAAUCUUGUAUCUUCAUAGUCCAGGAGUCCGGCUGAAGGUAUAGUCUGUCUACCCGAACACCCCCUAAUCCAGGACUCCCUCCGUAGCCCCUGAACCAGGCUUCAAUGACGACGAGUCUGGCGUGCAAAUUGUCUUCGGCAUUGCAAGGCAGGUUCCUCCUCCAAGUCCUUCAUAGAAGAUUGUAAACACCAAGAGUAGUGUCCGGCUCUGCAAAAUAAGCUUCCACAUAUUGCCAUAGAGAGAAUAAUAUUAACACAAAUCAAAUCUGCUGACGUAUUCCGCAGUGCGUCAUCACACUACAUCCAAGUCCUUCACUCGAAUCAUUUUCACUUUCCCACCUCAGCGUGUUUUGUGAGGCGGUUUCCUUGGCACGUCUUGUCAAAGCAGAGAUCGUGUACCCCCCUUUUAUGGGAUUCUCAUCAAUACUGACGUGGGUAACCCAACCGCGCCACUUAUCACGGCGCUUGGGAGGCAAGCGAGUUUUACUACGUAGGUGGGGAUGCACAACCCCAUCCGCCCAUAUAAGGGGACAAGGAUCCACCUUUUGACCUACGCCUUCUUCAUCCUUUGCCUAUCCAUCUCCUGCGCACCCGAGCUCCGGCGCCCAAGCCCGCACUUCCCACCUCAACCUUCUCCAGCAAUGUCCGGAGCAGGAGGCAAGUGGAUGGUCUCCUCCGUCACGGAGGGUAAAGUCAAGAAGCUAAGGAAGGCCGGAUACCUGUCCAAGGACAUCGCGCACCGGCUUCCCGAAGAGGGGCAGCUUCUCCCCACCCCAAGGCCCCAUGAGAGGGUAGUAUUUCUCCCCCACUUCCUCCGCGGACUGGGUUUUCCACUCCACCCAUUUGUUCGGGGGCUCAUGUUCUACUACGGCCUGGAUUUCCAUGAUCUGGCUCCAAACUUCAUCCUCAACAUCUCGGCGUUUAUCAUCGUGUGCGAGGCUUUUCUCCGCGUCCGCCCCCAUUUCGGCCUCUGGCUCAAGACCUUCAACGUCAAGCCCAAGGUGGUGCACGGCAGCCAGGCGGAGUGCGGAGGUGCCAUGGCGGGCAAGAUGGCCAAUGUCCUAUGGUUUGAGGGCUCUUUCGUGGAGACCCUAAAGGGAUGACAAUCCGGGUGGUUUUAUAUCACCGAGCCGCGCGAUCCGAAAUGGACCGCAGCCCCCGAGUUCCGAUCCGAACCCCCCACGCGGCUUAUGUCCUGGAAAGAGAUGGGCCUGUCGUGGGGUGACGAAAAAGAGGUGACCGGAUUGCAAACAUGCAUCCAGUCCCUGGUGAACAAGCCAGUCCGGCUUGUUAAUGUAAUCCAGGUUAUGCUCGUCCACCGGAUCCUCCCGUGCCAACAACGGGAUUUUAAUCUGUGGGAGUUCGACCGGGCGCAGCAUCAAACCCUCAGCAGGCUCUUCGACACGACGUACGAAGACGCCUGGAAGAUGCUAUUCAAGGGCGCCGAGGCUCCCGCAUCCGCUUCCGAGGACCGCGGAUACAGCUCGCAGCGUCACGCUAGCGAGGUAUGCCAUCUACACCUUUUACAUGAUGUUAAGCUUUUUUCAUAGUUUGACUCUAUGCGGGAUCUAAACUCCCUUACCUUUGACAGGCUUGGCGGGCGAUAUCCGGACCGAUUAACUGUCCGGCUCCGCUGCCCGAAGACCUAGCCCCAGCUCUACUAGUGAAGCUGCUGGCUCCGGCGCCUUAUGUGGUGCCGGAGAAGAAGGCCAAAAAGAAGAUGACCACGGGGACUCGAAAGAGUGCCCGCAACAUGGUGGUGUCGAACUCGUCAUCUGACGAGUCCGAGACGCCCUCCUCCCGUGAAAACAAGGAGGAGGAAGAAGAAAACUCUCCCCCCCCAGCGGAGGGAGGAGAGAAGAGGAAGGCCGCCCCAACGGGGGAGGCCGAGGGGUCUAGGAAAAGGGAGACCCCUCCGCCGGACUACGCCCCCAACGCCGAAGAGGGCAAGGAGGAGUGGCCAAACAGGGCCAAGCGUCCGGCGAAAUCGUAAGUUCGGAUAUCAGAGUAACUCAUGAUGUUCCUUUGUUGCACAACUUUCCCUAAUGUUGAAUGUAAUUAUGCAGUCCGCCCCGAGCCGAAUUCGACGAAUCGUCGGGCAGCUCCCUAGACUCAUCGGACGUGAACUCAGUUCCGCCCGAUGUCUCCCCCCGCACUGCAGACGACGCCGAAGUGGCGUCACGACAAGCUCCGGGGCAGGAGGAGGUGGUCCCGGAGGAGCCGCAAGGCAACCUCCCGGACUCCAGGAGUGAAGGGGAUAAGGCUCCCCAGGGCUCUAAGUCCGGCUUUGUGCCGGACACCGCACCGGAAUCAGUUCCGGACCGUGGUAGGCGAACUCCUUCCAAGAGGAGCAAGCCUUCUGAGCCGGCGGCCUCCGUCCAACCGGAGGUGCCGGACAACCUACUGGAGGUGCUUGACGACGCCUCCAUCGACGAGGGGCACCGUACUAUUAUGAGUACGGUGAUCCAGAAGGUUCAGUCCGCCAAGAGCGGACUGACUGAAGCUUCCGCUAGCCUUCUAACAGGCUUCGAGGUAAGUAAAAAUAUGUAAAAAUAUUACCGCAUAGACAGUAGCCCCUGAUGCUUUGUUUGGCGUUCGGAAAGAAAAGCCGAAUAGAGGAUCUAUUAAAUUUCGCAGGAGUCUAAAAAAAGACUCAAUAUGCGUAUGCAGGCUUCACUGCUAUCCACCGCCGCACUGACUGCGGAGGUGGGUGUCCUGAAGCAGGACCUCGAGCGGACCGAGCAAGAGCUCGGCCUUGCCAAGCGGCGGCUCGAGGAGGAAGAAGGUAAGAAAUACCUUACAGAAAAAGUGCCUAUAAAAAGGCUUGAUUGCAAAAAGAGUAACAGGAUUGUACUGCUUAUUGUAGGGGCCACGACUGAGGUGGUGACCCUUAAGCAGGCGCUGUCUGAGGCCGAAAAGAAAACGGCCGUGGAGCACACCGAGCGAGACAGACUUGGGGCUCAGGUCGGCGAGGUGCAGCAAGAGCUUCAGGCUCUCAUGAAAAAACAUGAGAGUUUGGAGCUGGAGUCGAAGGCGCAAGCAUCCGAGCUUGCAACGGCCCUAGAGGCUGCCAAGUCUGCCAAGGCCGAAGCCCAAAAGGCCCUCCAAGAGUUGGAGGAGAUGAGGAAGAUAGCAGCGGGUAAGGCAUUCUUUAUGCAAAGCAGAAAUAUAAAAGUGAACUACCUAUUACUUACCCGAAUCCGGAGCUCUCCAGGGGCAUUCGCAGAUCUUCCCCAUAGUGUAUCCGACGCCGCCGCAUUCUAUCGAGCUGAAGAGGGUAGCUCGACGGAGAAGGUGUUCUGGUCUCAGUAUUCUGAGGCCGGACACCCUGUGCCCUUGAGCGACCAGCUGAAAUAGCUGGUCGAGCUCCACAAGGCGGCCGAGCAGGCCAUGAAGGGCUUUAUAGUUCGGCUGUGGCCCGGAGAGGCCCUGCCUGGGAGCUAUUUCGGGCUGGUGCGGCGGCUGGUGGAGGCCUGUCCGAGGCUUGAGGUCAUCAAGCGCUCCGUCUGCAUCGAAGGUGCCCGUCGGGCCCUUGCCCGUGCAAAGGUGCACCGGGGUAAGCUGGACGGUGAGAAGCUUGUGAAGGACGGGCCGCCGCCGGGGAAGGAGCAUCGCAAGCCCGAGAACUACUACAAGGAUGUUCUUGCAGGUGCCCGCCUUGUGGCGGAUGAAUGUACCAAGGAUGUGAUAUUUGAAUGAACUCGCUCGUGUUUAUCAUGUGCACUGAAAACUUGUUCAUAUGCGCUAAGCAAUGCUUAUUGAAUUUAAAAUAUUACUUUCUGUGCGGCCGUUUAUCAAAAAUUGAGAGAUGGCCAGUCGUCGGCUUCUGCCCCCGUGCCACUAGUGCUGGGGUGUUCGGGAUAAACCUGAGCGCUCUUUUUCCCAUAGUUGGGUCCUUCGAGGGAGGCGCUCAGCACAACGAACCAGGCAAUCAGACUAUAAUGCUUGAACACUCUCACCUAGCCAUAGAACUCUAUAAUUUUAAAUUUCGGCGAAGCCCCUAGUUCGGAAGACCGAGUUCGGGGCGCUAUCCACGCCUUGGCCGGACAAAGCCAGCUCCUCGCUCGAAGCGGCAUAAGCCUUUAGGGACUCAAAAAACCUCUCGAACAGCGACCGGUCUCUUGCCACAUCAUGAUAGUCAGUUUUAGCUUUCUCCACUGAGGUGCUUAACCCAGCUGAACCGGGGCACAAUCGCAGUGGUUCUCCUAGUGCUACCUUAGCCGAUAGAGCGGAACGUAAGGCACAAAAACGUAGGAGCCGGGCAAACCCAACUAUUGACCCAAAUCAUGAUUCGGAGCCGAUGCAUAUAGUGCUAUAAGUUCGGGGUGCCGCACUUGUGAAAGUGUACGGACUUCUCACACCAUUAUGAGGGGUACUGAAGCCCCUGGCGUGUUUGCCGUACCAUGGUGUACGGGUGCAAUCAUGUCAUUUAAUAAACAUAAAUGUGAAAAGAAGAUAAUGCAAAAAAUAGACCAGAAGCUAAGCAUUGUUUAUAGAGAGGCUAUUUAUCAAAGCCGAAUGAUACAAAUAGUGCGGUAAGCAAAAGAUAUUGGACUAUUCAGUAUGUCCUGACCAGGGGCGGGCCGCGGAAUUGUAUUUAAAACAGGUAUACCGCUCGUAACAGAGACCACCUGGGAGUUCCAUAAUGCGGCAUGGCUUGUCUGCCUCCCUGGAUCUUGCAUCGUUUGUGCGGCAGUCGAAUUGCCGAAUAGGUCGUCCGAAGUAUGGAGUCCUGAAAGUAAGAAAAAAUUAAAAAAAGAAUCCGGCAGCCCCUAGUACGUUUUAAGCCGUAUUUUGGGCGUGCCGUUAUUGUGCCCCUUCCCCUGUGCCCAUGGUAUUUCAAGGGCGUAGUUAUGUACGCGAGGUACUGGUUUCGCUAUGUCGCGAAAGCUGGGGUUGGGGCCGCAUUGCUACGCUUGCUCAGAGUGUGCCAGGCGGUCCUGCUGUGGGUUACUCUGGGCGCGCUUGGCAGUGUCUGGCUUUUUAAUGGCCGGACUGGAGAAUUGCCUGAGAAGGCUACUUUGUACUUCCGCUGCGAGAGCCGCCGUAUGCUCCUCCGUAUGGAGGGAGCGUUCGAUGUUUCCGUUGACCGUAAUUACUCCUCGAGGGCCUGGCAUCUUGAGCUUGAGAUAUGCAUAGUGCGGCACUGCAUUGAACUUUGUGAAUGCGGUUCGUCCGAGCAGGGCGUGAUAGCCAGUGUGAAACGGGACUAUAUAGAAGAUUAAAUCUUCGCUUCGGAAAUUGUCCGGGGAUCCGAAGACCACGUCAAGUGUUACUGAGCCUGUACAGUUGGCUUCUACACCUGGUAUAACGCCUUUAAAGGUCGUUCUUGUGGGAUUAAUACUUGAGGGAUCUAUGCCCAUUUUCCACACUGUAUCCUGAUAAAGCAGGUUCAGGCUACUGCCGCCGUCCAUGAGGACUCUUGUGAGAUGAAAUCCGUUGAUGAUUGGGUCAAGAACCAAUGCGGCAAAGCCGCCAUGAUGGAUGCUAGUGGGAUGGUCCCUUCGAUCAAAAGUGAUCGGGCAGGAGGACCAUGGGUUGAACUUUGGGGCGACUGGCUCCAUCGCGUAUACGUCCCGUAGCGCAUGCUUCCGCUCCCGCUUGGGAAUGUGGGUUGCGUAUAUCAUGUUCACUGUCCGCACUUGUGGGGGAAAGCCCUUCUGUCCAUUGUUGUUCGGCGGCUUGGGCUCCUCGUCGUCGCUGUGCAGCCCCUUGUCUCUGUUUUCGGCCCUUAACUUGCCUGCCUGCUUGAACGCCCAACAAUCCCUGUUAGUGUGAUUGGCAGGCCUUUCGAGGGUGCCAUGUAUCUGGCACAAGUGAUCGAGUAUUCGGUCCAAACUGGACGGGCCCUGAGUAUUCUUUUUGAAUGGCUUUUUCCGCUGACUGGAUUUAUAGCCUUCGAAUCCGGCAUUGACUACCGUGUCUUCAUUGCUGUCGCUGCUAACGCGGCGUUUUUGCUUAUUCCAACGUGUCCUGCCACUUUUGUCCUUGGUAUCCGAAUUACCAGGGUUCUUUGAUAAGUUGUUACUGCGAGCUAGCCAGCUGUCUUCUCCCGCGCAAAAGCGGGUCAUGAGUGUCGUGAGGGCUGCCAUGGAUUUCGGCUUUUCCUGUCCCAGGUGCCGGGCAAGCCACUCGUCGCGCAUGUUAUGCUUGAAGGAUGCUAGGGCCUCUGCGUCCGGACAGUCGACUAUCUGGUUUUUCUUUGUUAGGAACCGUGUCCAGAAUUGUCUGGCCGAUUCCUCUGGCUGCUGAAGUAUGUGGCUUAAGUCGUCGGCAUCCGGUGGUCGCACGUUAAGUGCCCUGGAAGUUGUCGAGGAAUGCGGCUUCCAGGUCCUCCCAAGAACCGAUUGAGUCUGCUGGCAAGCUGUUAAGCUAAUGCCGGGCCCAUCCUUUAAGUUUGAGCGGGAGGUAUUUGAUGGCGUGUAGAUCAUCGCCGCGUGCCAUGUGGAUGUGAAGGAGAUAAUCCUCGAUCCAUACCGCCGGAUCUGUUGUGCCAUCGUAUGAUUCGAUGUUUACGGGUUUGAAACCCUCUGGGAUUUUAUGAUCCAUUACUUCAUUCGUGAAGCAUAGCGGGUGUCCGGUGCCUCUGUACUGGGCUAUAUCACGACGCAGCUCGGAAGAGCUAUGUCUGUUGUGUUCGGCCCGGCCGGAUUUGUUGUAUCCGGAGUGAAGAUCAUUGUCGCAUGCCGUAGGGCGCCUGCGCGAUCCGUAGAUCGAUCUUGUUUGUCUUGCCUUAUCCUCCAGUAUGUCUCGCAGGUCGGGCGCAUUUUCCCGUGCCUUAGUUGAGCGGCGUCGGGGCAUGGCUUGGGUGGAGGGCCGAGAGGCCUCUCUGUCACGGCCGCGAGGUGGCCGGUCUGCCAUGUCAUGCGCUGGUGAUGUAGGUGCUUCCUCCUCUGAUCGGGGUAGCGGCCUGCGCUUCGAGUAACUCUUGGAGGGGCGUUCGAGUUCAUACUCUUCGGCCGCAAGGACUUCAGUCCGUCUGUCAGCUAGCAAAUCUUGGGCAGCUCUAAGAUGUUGCUGCUUUUUCUUGAGGCUGCUUGCCGUGGCUAAAAGCCUGCGUUUAAAAUGCUCUUGUUCGGCGGGGUCUGAUGGUAUGACGAAUUCGUCGUCAUCGAGGCUUGCCUCGUCUUCGGAGGGAGGCGUAUAGUUAUCAUCCUCGACCUCUCGGUCUGCCGCUCUCUCAUGAGGGCUGGCUUCUCCAUCUUCCUGUGCCGAAUCUUGCUGAGGUGGGUGUUCUUCGGCGCUAUCUGGGGUAGUAUUAUCUCCCGUGCCAGAAUCACCGUUUUUGCUUUGGCGGGAUUUAGAGCGGCGCCGCUGACGCCGGCGCUUUGGCUGUUUCUUGGGGGCGUCAUCCCCCGCUGUUCCAUCGCCAUCUCCAUCUUUUGGAGUAUCCACCAUAUAUAUGUCAUAUGACGAGGUGGCCUUCCAGCGCCCUACAGGUGCUAGUUCCUGUUCGUCUCCUACAUCGUCGUCCAUGCCGUCGAUGUCUUCGGAGCCGAAGUCAAGCAUGCCGGUUAGAUCAUCGACAGUGGCUACAAAGUGGGUGGUGGGUGGGCUUUGAAUUUCCUUAUCGUCCGUAUCCCACCCUCGCUGGCCGUAGUCCAGCCAGGGCUCUCCUGAUAAAGAGAGAGACUUAAGAGAAUUCAGGAUGUCGCCAAAAGGCGAAUGCUGAAAGAUGUCUGCGGCGGUGAACUCCAUUAUCGGCGCUCAAUCGGAUUCGAUUGGCAAGGGCGCGGGGGGUUCGGAGUACGGGGAGGAGUCCGGAUCCUUGGAGUCACGGGUCGUGCAGAGUGCGGGGCUAGCGUUCGGCUCGAUCACUUUCGGGAUCGCAGCCCCUGAGGUGACGUCCAACCGCUCAUCCUCGAUUGGCGCAAUAGGCUCCGAGUUAGGGGUCGGAACCGAUGCGUGUGCGACCUCCAGGACACUAUCCGGGGGCAGAGCUAGAUCAUAGAUCAUGCCCCUCGAGAUAGUGCGGCGCGCUUGGCCGUGACUCGAGUCCGUCGAAGAUCAAGUCUCCGCGGAUGUCAGCCGUGUAGUUUAAGCUUCCAAACCUGACUUGAUGGCCAGGGGCGUAGCUUUCGAUCUGCUCCAGGUGGCCGAGCGAAUUGGCCCGUAGAGCGAAGCCGCCGAAGACGAAGAUCUGUCUAGGGAGCAAAGUCUCACCCUGGACCGCAUCGUUGUUGAUGAUCAAAGGAGCCAUCGGGCCUAAAGGCGAUGACACAGAGGAACUCUAAAUGAAAGCACCAAUGUCGGUGUCAAAACCAGCGGAUCUCGGGUAGUGGGUCCCGAACUGUGCGUCUAGGCCGGAUGGUAACAGGAGGCAGGGAACACGAUGUUUUACCCAGGUUCAGGCCCUCUUGAUGGAGGUAAAACCCUACGUCAUGCUUGAUUAAUAUUGAUGAUAUGGGUAGUACAAGAGUAGAUCUACCAUGAGAUCAAGGAGGCUAAACCCUAGAAGCUAGCCUAUGGUAUGAUUGUUGUAUAUGGAGUUGAUUGCCUACGGACUACAACCCUCCGGUUUAUAUAGACACCGGAUAGGGUUAGGAUUACAUAGAGUCGGUUACAAUGGUAGGAGAUCUUGAAUAUCCGCAUCGCCAAGCUUGCCUUCCACGCCAAGGAAAGUCCCAUCCGGACAUGAGACGAAGUCUUCAAUCUUGUAUCUUCAUAGUCCAGGAGUCCGGCUGAAGGUAUAGUCCGGCUACCCGAACACCCCCUAAUCCAGGACUCCCUCACUUCCUAUUAAUUGCAACAAUGACCAAAGCUAUGUCUGCCAACUCCCAACAACUUUUAAUCAUCAUACUCUUUCUAUGUGAAGUCAUUACUCUCAAUAAGAUCAAUAUGAACUUUUUGUUUCUUUUUAUUCUUUUUCUCUUUUCUUUUAUUCACCCAAGAUCAUGGCAAAAUAAUCAAGCCCUUGACUCAACACUAAUCUUUAUUAUAUAUAGCUCACGGACUUGAUUACAUAGAGAGAUCAUAAAGCAAAACUCAAAACUAGAUCAUGCCAUAAACUUUAUUCUACUAGAUCAAGAUACUACUAAUAGGAUUGAACUAGGAAAAACGGUAAAGAUAAGAGUUGUGAUUGUGAUGCGAUACCGGGGCACCUCCCCCAUGCUUGGCAGUUGCCAAGGGGAGUGGCCAUACCCAGAUACUCAAUUCUUCUUUGUUGGAGGAGACGGCGGAGGUGUUGUUGAUGAUGCGGGCUGGUCAUCCAUCUUCCAAGGCAUAGGUUCACCAUCAUAGAAAGAUGAUCGAGUCUUUGGAAUCCUCAAAUCUGCAGGCAAACUCAUUCUUUUGAAUCUAUAUUCAUACUCACAGUUUUGGGUUUGAAGGUCAUAUACUUGGGCUUGAAGGUGCUCGAUCUUCUCAUAUAGCUUGAAGAUGGCUUCCUCGGUGUUCUUGGCAUCCGGCUUGUAAUUGUUAGUGAACUCCGCGAGCAUCGUGUGGCUGGCGUUGAUUCCACGCUCCACCAUCCCCUAGCACUUGAAAACUUGUUGCUCCAAUGCUUCGAGCCUCGUCUCUAUGCUUCCGGUCCCCUUUGGUCCCUCUUCAUCGCGGAUGUGUAGCAACCCAUCACACAACUCAAUGGUUUGAGGGUGUCGCAGCACCUCCGCGAGGUAAGGGUUGAUGACCUUCUCGAAGAACUUGUCCUUGGAGGCGCUUGGGGCCAUCAUGAUAACCUAGAUCUGUCAAAAAAUAGCUCGAAACAAAAACAGAGGAGGUUUGCAUGAUACGGGAGUCAAAACCUUCGGGAGAAUAUAUAAUGAAUUUUUACCGAGCAAAAUACGUAACGUGCAAGAAAACGGAGUCCGGAAGGCACACGAGGUGCUCACGAGGUAGGGGGCGCACCCAGGGGGUAGGGCGCGCCCACCACCCUCGUGGGGCCCUCGUGUCCUUCCCGGACUACUACUUAUUUUUCUAUUUUUCUAAAUAUUCCAAAACGGAGAAAUAUUGCCCUAAAAAUUGUUUUGGAGUCGGUUUACUUACCGUACCACAUACCUAUUCCUUUUCGGAGUCUGAAACAUUCCGGAAAGUGUCUCUUAUGUAUUCCUCCAGGGUUAUAGUUUCAAUAAUAUUGGUUUCAACAUUUAUGGGAUUACCUGUGAUAUAAUGUUUAAUUCUUUGACCGUUUACCACCUUCGGAUUUGUGCCUUCGAAGUUGUUGAUUUUUAUGGCACCGGAACGAUAGACCUCUUCGAUAACAUAGGGGCCUUCCCAUUUAGAGAGAAGUUUUCCUGCAAAAAAUCUUAAACGAGAGUUGUAUAGCAAUACAUAAUCACCUACAUUAAACUCACGCUUUUGUAUCCUUUUUUCAUGCCAUUUUUUAACUUUUUCUUUAAACAACUUGGCAUUUUCAUAUGCUUGGGUUCUCCAUUCAUCAAGUGAGCUAAUAUCAAAUAACCUCUUUUCACCGGCAAGUUUAAAAUCAUAGUUAAGCUCUUUAAUAGCCCAGUAUGCCUUAUGUUCUAGUUCGAGGGGUAAGUGACAUGCUUUUGCAUAGACCAUUUUAUACGGAGACAUACCCAUAGGAUUUUUGUAUGCAGUUCUAUAAGCCCAUAAUGCAUCAUCAAGUUUCUUAGACCAAUUCUUUCUAGACCUAUUAACAAUCUUUUGCAAAAUUAAUUUGAGCUCUCUAUUGCUUAACUCAACUUGACCACUAGACUGUGGGUGAUAAGGAGAUGCAAUUCUAUGAUUAACAUCAUAUUUAGCAAGCAUUUUACGGAAAGCACCAUGAAUAAAGUGUGAACCACCAUCAGUCAUUAAAUAUCUAGGGACUCCAAACCUUGGGAAAAUAACUUCUUUAAGCAUUUUAAUAGAAGUGUUAUGAUCAGCACUACUAGUUGGAAUAGCUUCUACCCACUUAGUAACGUAAUCAAUAGCAACUAGAAUAUGUGUGUAUCCAUUAGAGGCAGGAAAAGAUCCCAUAUAAUCAAAACCCCAAACAUCAAACGGUUCAAUAACUAGUGAAUAAUUCAUAGGCAUUUCUUGACGUCUACUAAUAUUACCAAUUCUUUGACAUUCAUCACAAGACAAUACAAACUUACGGGCAUCCUUGAAGAGAGUAGGCCAAUAAAAACCAGAUUGCAAUACCUUAUGUGCAGUUCUAUCUCCAGCGUGGUAUCCUCCAUAAGACUCGGAAUGACACUUGCGUAGGAUCUAUUCCUGUUCAUGCUCAGGUACACAUCGUCUAAUAACACCAUCUACUCCUUCUUUAUAAAGAUGUGGGUCAUCCCAAAAGUAAUGUCUUAAAUCAUAGAAGAACUUUUUCUUUUGUUGGUAUGUGAAGCUAGGUGGUAUAAAUUUAGCAACAAUAUAAUUAGCAUAAUCAGCAUACCAUGGAGUACUACGAGAAGUACUUAUAACAUUUAAUUGUUCAUCAGGAAAGCUAUCAUUAAUAGGUAGUGGGUCAUCAAGAAUAUUUUCUAACCUAGACAGGUUGUCUGCAACGGGGUUCUCAGCUCCCUUUCUAUCAACAAUAUGCAAAUCAAAUUCUUGUAGCAAGAGAACCCCUCUAAUUAGUCUAGGUUUAGCAUCUUUCUUUUCCAUAAGAUAUUUAAUAUCAGCAUGAUCUGUUUGAAUAGUUACUUUAGAAUCAACAAUAUAAGAUCUGAACUUAUCACAAGCAAAUACAACUGCUAAGAGUUCUUUUUCAGUAGUAGCAUAAUUUCUUUGAGCAUUGUCUAGAGUCUUACUAGCAUAAUGAAUAACAUUUAAUUUCUUAUCAACUCUUUGCCCUAGACCAGCACUAGCAUCACACAUAAUUUCAAAGGGUAGGUUCCAAUCAGGUGGCUGAACAACAGGUGCAGAGACUAAUGCUUUCUUAAGUAUUUCAAUGCUUCUACACAAUCAUCAUCAAAGACAAAUGGUAUAUUUUUGGCAAUAAAUUAGUCAGAGGCCGAGAAAUUUUUGAGAAGUCCUUAAUGAACCUCCUAUAAAAUCCAGCGUGACCAAGGAAACUUCUUAUACCUUUGAUGUCCUUGGGACAUGACAUCUUUUCAGUAGCAUCAACCUUGGCUUUAUCAACUUCAAUACCUCUUUCAGAAACUUUGUGCCCCAAGACAAUACCUUCAUUAACCAUAAAGUGGCACUUUUCCCAAUUCAAGACAAGAUUAGUUUCUUCACAUCUCUGCAAAACUCGAUCAAGAUUGCUCAAGCAAUCAUCAAAAGAGGAACCAUAGACGGAAAAGUCGUCCAUGAAAACCUCACAAAUCUUUUCACAAAAGUCAAGAGAAUAUAGCCAUCAUGCAUCUUUGAAAGGUAGCAGGUGCAUUACAUAAACCAAAAGGCAUACGUCUAUAAGCAAAAGUACCAAAAGGGCAUGUAAAAGUAGUCUUUGAUUGAUCUCUAGCCGACAUAGGUAUUUGAGAGAAACCAGAAUAACCAUCUAGAAAGAAAUAGUGUGUAUGUUUGCAUAAUCUUUCUAGCAUUUGAUCAAUAAAAGGUAAGGAGUAAUGAUCUUUCUUAGUAGCUUUAUUUAAUUUGCGGAAAUCAAUUACCAUCCUAUAACCUGUGAUAAUUAUUUGUGGAAUCAAUUCAUCUUUAUCAUUAGGAACAACAGUAAUACCUCCCUUCUUAGGGACACAAUGGACAGGACUUACCCACUCACUAUCAGCAACGGGAUAGAUUAUACCUGCCUCCAAAAGCUUUAGUGUUUCUUUUCUUACCACUUCUUUCAUUUUAGGAUUCAGACGUCGUUGAGGAUCACGAACUGGUUUGGCAUCUGCUUCCAAAUUUAUUUUAUGUUGACAUAGAGUGGGACUAAUGCCCUUAAGAUCAUCAAGAGUGUAUCCAAUAGCAGCACGAUGCUUCUUCAGAGUUUUCAAUAAUCUUUCUUCUUCAUGCUCUGAAAGGUUAGCACUAAUAAUAACAGGAUAUAUCUUCUUUUUAUCAAGAUAAGCAUAUUUAAGAUUAUCAGGCAACGGUUUAAGCUCAAACACGGGAUCACCCUUGGGUGGAGGAGGAUCCCCUAAAAUUUCAACAGGCAAGUUGUGAUGCAGAAUAGGUUCCUGUUUAAAGAAUACUUCAUCUAUUUCCCUUCUUUCAUUCAUGAACAUAUCAUUUUCAUGGUCUAGCAAAUAAUGUUCUAAAGGAUCACUAGGAGGUACGGCAAUAGAAGCAAGACCAAUAAUUUCAUCCUUACUAGGUAAUUCUUCCUCACGAUGUUGUUUACUAAAUUUAGAGAAAUUAAACUCAUGAACCAUAUCAUCCAAACCAACAGUAACAAUAUUCUUAGUGGAGUCUAUGGUAGCAUUGACAGUAUUUAAAAAGGGUCUACCAAAUAUAAUUGGACAAAAGCUAUCUUGCGGAGAAGUAAGAACAAGAAAAUUAGCAGGAUAUUUAGUUUUCCCACACAAGACUUCAACAUCUCUAACAAUUCCAAUUGGUGCAAUAGUAUCUCUAUUAGCAAGUUUAAUAGUAACAUCAAUGUCUUCUAACUCAACAGGUGCAAUUUCAUUCUUAAUUUCUUUGUAUAAGUCAUGAGGUAUAACACUAGCACUAACACCCAUAUCACAUAAGCCAUGAUAACAAUGAUCUCCUAUUUUAACAGAAAUAACAUGCACGCCUACCACAGGUCUAUGUUUAUCCUUAUCACAAGGUUUAGCAAUUCUAGCAGUUUCACCUUCGAACUGAAUAACAUGCCCAUCAAUAUUAUCAGACAAGAGAUCUUUAACAAUAGAAAUAUUAGGUUCUACUUUAACUUGCUCAGGAGGUGUAUAAGUUCUAAUAUUGCUUUUACGAACAACAAUUGAAGCUUUAGCAUGAUCCUUUAUUCUAACAGGGAAAGAUGGUUUCUCAAUAUAAGAAGUAGGAACAAUAGGAUCAUUAUAAGUGAUAGUCUUUUCUUCAACUUUAAUAGGUGCAGCUACUUUUACUUCUAUGGGAGGAUGAUAUUUAAACCACUUCUCCUUAGGGAGAUCAACAUAAGUGGCAAAAGAUUCACAGAAAGAAGCUACUAUCUCAGAGUCAAGUCCAUAUUUAGUGCUAAACUUACGGAAAAUAUCGGUAUCCAUAAAAGAUUUAACACAAUCAAACUUAGGUGUCAUACCUGACUCUUUACCUUCAUCGAGGUCCCAAUCUUCAGAGUUGCGUUUAAUUCUAUCCAAUAAAUUCCAUCUGAAUUCAGUAGUCUUCAUCAUAAAAGAGCCAGCACAAGAAGUAUCGAGCAUGGUGCGAUUGUUUUCAGAAAGCCAAGCAUAAAAACUUUGCAUAAUUAUUUCUCUCGAGAGCUCAUGAUUGGGGCAUGAAUAUAACAUUGAUUUAAGCCUCCCCCAAGCUUGAGCGAUGCUUUCUCCUUCGCGAGGCCAGAAAUUAUAUAUAUAAUUGCGAUCAUGAUGAACAAGAUGCAUAGGGUAAUACUUCUGAUGAAAUUCCAGCUCCAAUCUUUUAUAGUCCCAUGAUCUCAUAUCAUCACAUAGCCUAUACCAUAUCAAUGCGUAUCCCUUCAAAGAUAAACGGAAGACCUUCUUCUUAGCAACAUCAUCGGGUAUACCUGCAAGCUUAAAUAAUCCACAAACUUCAUCCACAUAUAUUAAGUGCUCAUCAGGAUGCUUUGUUCCAUCUCCUGUAAAAGGAUUAGCUAGCAGUUUUUCUAUCAUACCCGAAGGAUACUCAUAAGGAAUUUCAUUUUCAAUAGGUUCAGUAGGUUGAGGAGCAACUCUUUUCUCUACUGGUCGGGGUGAAGAUACCCCGAACAAGCCCCUCAGAGAAUUACUUUCCAUAGUAACAAGUGACAGUAAAUUUCAGCACACUAUAUAAAUUUUUCCUUACCAAAUUCCACCUACCAAAGGCGCUACACUCCCCGGCAACGGCGCCAGAAAAGAGUCUUGAUGACCCACAAGUAUAGGGGAUCUAUCGUAGUCCUUUCGAUAAGUAAGAGUGUCGAACCCAACGAGGAGCAGAAGGAAAUUAUAAGCGGUUUUCAGCAAGGUAUUCUCUGUAAGUACUGAAAUAAGUGGUAACAGAUAGUUUUGUGAUAGGAUAAAUUGUAACGAGCAACAAGUAACAAAAGUAAAUAAAGUGCAGCAAGGUGGCCCAGUCCUUUUGUAGCAAAGGACAAGCCGGAACAAACUCUUAUAAUAGGAAAAGCGCUCCCGAGGACACAUGGGAAUAUCGUCAAGCUAGUUUUCAUCAUGUUCAUAUGAUUCGCGUUCGAUACUUUGAUAAUUUGAUAUGUGGGUGGACCGGUGCUUGGUUGAUGUUCUUACUUGAACAAGCAUCCCACUUAUGAUUAACCUCUAUUGCAAGCAUCCGCAACUACAACAAAAGUAUUAAGGUAAACCUAACCAUAGCAUGAAACAUAUGGAUCCAAAUCAGCCCCUUACAAAGCAACACAUAAACUAGGGUUUAAGCUUCUGUCACUCUAGCAACCCAUCAUCUACUUAUUACUUCCCAAUGCCUUCCUCUAGGCCCAAAUAAUGGUGAAGUGUUAUGUAGUCGACAUUCACAUAACACCACUGGAGGCUAGACAACAUACAUCUUAUCAAAAUAUCAAACGAAUACCAAAUUCACAUGACUACUCAUAGCAAGACUUCUCCCUUGUCCUCACGAACGAACGUAAUUACUCACAAAGCAUAUUCAUGUUCAUAAUCAGAGGGGUAAUAAUAUUCAUAUAGGAUCUGAACAUAUGAUCUUCCACCAAAUAAACCAACUAGCAUCAACUACAAGGAGUAAUCAACACUACUAGCAACCUACUAGCACCAAUCCCGGACUUUGAGACAAGGAUUGGAUACAAGAGAUGAACUAGGGUUUGGAGAUGAGAUGGUGCUGGUGAAGAUGUUGAUGGAGAUUGCCCUCUCCUGAUGAGAGGAGCGUUGGUGAUGACGAUGGUGAUGAUUUCCCCCUCCCGGAGGGAAGUUUCCCCGGCAGAACAGCUCUGCCGGAGCUCUAGAUUGGAUCCGCCAAGGUUCCUCCUCGUGGCGGCGGAGUCUCGUCCCGAAAAGUUCCUCUCUAUUUUUUUCUCAUCGAGAGACCUCAUAUAGGAGAAAAUGGGCAUCGGAGAGCCACCAGGGGGCCCACGAGGUAGGGGGCGCGCCCUAGGGGGGGCGCCCCCCACCCUCGUGAGAAGGGUGUGGGCCCACUGCCCUUCAUCUUUGGCGUGUAUUUUUCUUUAUUUCUUUUAAGACGUUCCGUGGAGUUUCAGGACUUUUGGAGUUGCGUAGAAUAGGUCUCUAAUAUUUGCUGCCUUUCCAGACCAGAAUUCCAGUUGCCGGCAUUCUCCCUCUUUAUGUAAACCUUGUAAAAUAAGAGAAAAUAGCCAUAAGUAUUGUGACAUAAAGUGAAUAACAGCCCAUAAUGCGAUAAAUAUCGAUAUAAAAGCAUGAUGCAAAAUGGACGUAUCACCUACGCACACGCAAGAUCAUGGUGAUGCAUAGCAACGAGAGGGGAGAGUGUUGUCCACGUACCCUCGUAGACCAAAAACGGAAGCGUUAGCACAACACGGUUGAUGUAGUCGUACGUCUUCACGAUCCGACCGAUCAAGUACCGAACGCACGGCACCUCCGAGUUCAGCACACGUUCAGCCCGAUGACGUCCCUCGAACUCCGAUCCAGCCGAGUGUUGAGGGAGUGUUUCGUCAGCACGACGGCGUGGUGACGAUGAUGAUGUUCUACCGACGCAGGGCUUCGCCUAAGCACCGCUACAGUAUUAUCGAGGUGGAGUAUGGUGGAGGGGGGCACCACACACGGCUAAAAGAUCAACAUAUCAAUUGUUGUGUCUAUGGGGUGCCCCCUGGCCACGUAUAUAAAGGAGUGGAGGAGGGGAGGGGCCGGCCCUCUCUAUGGCGCGCCCUAGGGGAGUCCUACUCCCACCAGGAGAAGGAUUCCCCUUUUCCUAGUAGAACUAGGAGCCCUUCCAAGUAGUAGGAGUAGGAGAGAAGGAAAGGGAAAAGAGAAGAGAAGGAAGGAGGGGUCGCAGCCCUCCCCCUUAGUCCAAUUCGGACUAGGCCUUGGGGGCGUGCAGCCUGCCUCUCUCUCUUUCCCCUAACCCAAUAAGGCCCAUACACUCCCCGGCGAAUUCCCGUAACUCCCCGGUACUCCGAUAAAUACCCGAAUCACUCGGAACCUUUCCGAUGUCUGAAUAUAGUCGUCCAAUAUAUCGAUCUUUACGUAUCGACCAUUUUGAGACUUCUCGUCAUGUCCCCGAUCUCAUCCGGGACUCCAAACUACCUUCGGUACAUCGAAACACAUAAACUCAUAAUAUAACCGUCAUCGAACUUUAAGCGUGCGGACCCUACGAGUUCGAGAACUAUGUAGACAUGACCGAGACACGUCUCCAGUCAAUAACCAAUAGCGGAACCUGGAUGCUCAUAUUGACUCCCACAUAUUCUACGAAGAUCUUUAUCGGUCAAACCACAUAACAACAUACGUUGUUCCCUUUGUCAUCGGUAUGUUACUUGCCUGAGAUUCGAUCUUCGGUAUCUCAAUACCUAGUUCAAUCUCGUUACCGGCAAGUCUCUUUACUCGUUCCGUAAUACAUCAUCCCGCAACUAACUCAUUAGUUGCAAUGCUUGCAAGGCUUAAGUGAUGUGUAUUACUGAGUGGGCCCAAAGAUACCUCUCCAACAAUCGGAGUGACAAAUCCUAAUCUCGAAAUACGCCAACCCAACAAGUACCUUCGAAGACACCUUUACGUUGUGACGUUUGGUAGUACACAAAGUGUUCCUCCGGUAAACGGGAGUUGCAUAAUCUCAUAGUCAUAGGAACAUGAUAAGUCAUGAAGAAAGCUAUAGCAACAAACUAAACGAUCAAGUGCUAAGCUAACGGAAUGGGUCAAGUCAAUCACAUCAUUCUCCUAAUGAUGUGAUCCCGUUAAUCAGAUGACAACUCUUUGUCUAUGGCUAGGAAACAUAACCAUCUUUGAUCAAUGAGCUAGUCAAGUAGAGGCAUACUAGUGACACUCUGUUUGUCUAUGUAUUCACACAUGUAUCAUGUUUCCGAUUAAUAUAAUUCUAGCAUGAAUAGUAAACAUUUAUCAUGAUAUAAGGAAAUAAAUAAUAACUUUAUUAUUGCCUCUAGGGCAUAUUUCCUUCACCUCCCUCAUCCCUCAUAUUUUAAAACUGGACAAGUUUAACCCAAACCCGUAAAGAAAGUUGUAUUAGGCUGGCAUGUCCUCGGGUUUGACUAAGCCCAAUUCUUUUCAGCUUUUGAUUCUCGAGAAUCAACUUUUGGGAAACUUCUCACAAAAUCAACCAUCGAGUUCUUUUCUGAGAUUGUGGUGGUCUGAGAUUACGGGAUGAGUUUGUGUGCUGACAUGUCUAUAAUGUCCUUAAACUAAAACUGGGUGUUGAAACGAUAGCAUUCAAAUUAGCACAUAGUAGAAGCAAAAAAGAACCAUUCAUAGUUGCAUUGAGUAAUCACAGUUUUUUUAACCAAGUCAUCUUCCCUUUACAGUUGCAUUGAGCAUUUAUAGUAGUAAAAAGAAAAUUACAUGAUCGGUCCAUUCAUCCAUCCAUCUACGAAAAACCUAGCACCAUUGAUCCAUCCAUCAAGCAAAUCAUGUACUAAGCAUCUACAUACAUCCCGUAAAAAAAGCAUCUACAUAUAUUCAUUUUAUCCAACUUUCAUGUACAAGAGGGGAACUAGAAUAGAGAGAUGAACAAACACCGAAGGAGGAGAGGCUCACCAGGCAGCGGUGCAAGAGAGUUGUGGCCGCGGGAUGAGCUCUUCCACCGCUGGGAUUGGAUGAUUUACCCCACUUUAUAAGGGAUUGCAUGAUUUGCCCCAGGGUUGUUUCAAUUACCAGUGGCUCCGAUCCCACCCGGCAGCCUCUCAGGAGGGCAAAUUAUCAAAUGGGGAAGUAAAGUGGGGCCAAAGAUUUAAUUUCUCGAAAAUCGAGCGAGGGGAGACCGAUCGAGCCAACCCAAUCGUUUUCUCGGGCGGAAGGGCAUUUUGCCCGUAAUUUUGCCUUUAAACAAAGGGUAUGCCCUAAAAAUUAAAAUGUUUUCUUUUGAGGGAGAUCCAAAAUCGACCCAAAACGAUGCUUCUAAGUUGCACUGUCGAUUGUGGUUCGAUUUUCAUAAUUCUACAUAAUCAAAUCAAGUUCUUUUAAGCUUCUGAUUUUCCAGACCCUGAUUCUUCAUAAUCAGGUCAAAAGAACUGGGCCUAAGAACAUCUCAAGUUACUGCCAUCCCAUCUCAACUCAUCUCAUUUCUCUGGAUGCAUAAGCAGCAUUUUGUCGAACAUCUUGUGUGCGUUCGGCCUCCACGCCGCCGGCGUAACACCGAGCUCAAGUCCGGUCACCUUGCGCUGGUGGCCAAGCGCACUACACCAGUUCGCACCACACACGCCGCCACUCAUCGUCGACAAGCGGCAGGGCAUCAAUGAACGAGCCGAAUGAGGUGGUAGACGGCGCAUACGAGCAGGAGAAUUGUUCAGCUCCUGAGCGAGGCAUCGCGUAGGCGGCGCGUGUCGUGGCGGCGCCCGCGCGUCCAGGCCCGUCGGGAGCAGCAGGCCGGCGUUGCUGCGCAUGACGUACGCGCUGUGCUGCAUGCUCCCGCGUCGGCUACUGCAAUGGCCCGAAGCGUGUGGCGGCGUGCCGAUCGACCAACGUCAUGUCGCCGCCGAGGAGGGCCACCAGGAUGCGCACAUCGCUGGCGGCCACGGCCAGCUCGCCGACGAUGAGGCAAGUGUGAUUACCCCCGGGAAAUGCAUGCCAGCUGUUCGAUAAAAUGACUACAAUAAAGUUUCAAUACCAGCCCAAUACCGCUCCAUUUUCUGGUUCUGGACGAAACAUGUCUGAUUUUGAAACACAAGGGACCAAAUGUCGACGGAAAAAAGAUGAGGGAUCCAAUGUCUACUUGUAAACUUGAGGGACCAACAAUAUACACUUUUCUCAAAACAAAACAGAUAUGAAACUCAAACAAAUAUUCAUGUUUGUCUAGAUCAUGUGCAAGAAGGAUAUAUAUAGACACACACACAAGCAUGCAUAGAGAGGUGUUCUUCAGUUCUUGCAUAUUAACUGAGAUUCAUUUUUGCGCUUGCAGCAUAGAACGAAGACAAGUUGCGACUUCAGUGAAUGAAGGUCUUCGCUCAGGCUCAGUUGACCAGCAUUGCUCCAUGAGUUUCCUCCAUUCCGGGUUACAUGAAGUGGGCACUGGCGGCCUCAGUGUGUCACUCAAAAUACCCCCUGCACACUCCCAUUGGAAACUAAUGUUUAAUAAUUUACUCAAGAAGAGCGAAGGUAUGUUUUCGGUUAAAUUAGCAUAUAAAUUUACCACCUGGUUCCCUGAACUUGAGAAUUACACACCCAGGCACCUAAACUUGUAUAAAUGAAUAUAUUCAACUACCUAGGUGACUAGUAGCAACUAUAUAUGAUUUUGCUAUAACUUACUGUUUGGCUUUGUGUAGAUCAUGUGAAAUUAACGAAUAAUGAUGUUCUUUUGUUUAAAUGAAGUUAACAUAGAUCCUGCAAACAUUCUCGCCUUUCAUGACCUUUCUUUUCAAGAAGAUCUCAAGAUUUAGCUUAAAUAAGUUGUCAACAACUGCUAUUUAAGUAGUUUCAGCUUAUCCCUACUCACAAGUAUAUGAUACUCAUGUUUAAGGACUUAAAUGUGCGGUUCCCAAGUUUAGGACCCAAGUGGUAUAAUUGCAGAACCAUGGAAUUCAGAAGAUGAGAUUACCACUACAGCCUACGGAUGGAGGAUCAUACUGUUUCAUACCUAUAACUCCUCCAUAGUGCAUGCCAUCAUAUGGAUCCUCACCAGUGAGAAUUUCCCACAUCACAACGCCAAAAGAAUAGACAUCGACCUGUGUUACCAUAAAAUUGGCAUAUUUGAGAAUACAAAAGAGAAGAACAUGUCAGGCCUAAGUAUAUUCUAGAAAUUUUACAAUCUUUUUGUCAGUGUGUGUUAAAUUCUGCAAGUUUUUUUUUUUCAUGAAUCAAAUAGGAGGAAUGCUCUAGUUCAUGUUUAAAGUGAAUUUUCAUUAACCGUUAUCCCCUCUAUAUCACAAAUAAGUAACUUUUUGGGCAUGCUUUCAGUCAAACUUUUAAAACUUUGGCUGCAAAUAUCAUUUUAAUUGCUAUGUUUAAUUUUUUUAAAUCAUAUGUAUAGAUCUUUCAGAAAGCAUUUCUAGAAUAUCAUGUUUUUCAGUCUUGUACAUAUAUUCCUACUAUAGAUUAGUGAUCAAAGUUAUAUCUCAAAGACCGUGUCAGUAUCUAAAAAGUCACUUGUUUGUGAUAUGAAGAGAGUAUAUAGCACUCCCAGUGAGCAGGUCAAAUAUCUUCAGCAUCAUGCCACAGUUUGAACAAUGUUAUACAUUCAUAUAACUGAUAAGUAUGUCGUAUAACCUUUGUGCAUGAAUGUCAAGUGAAAUUGUGAAACAAACACAAUGCUAUAAUUUGGGUUCUUCGUAAUUUGUAGCACCUUCACACUUCCAAGUCAUUAAAAAGAUUCAUCAUAAUACCUUUUCAGAUACUUUUGUGCCACUCAUUGUCAACAAUUCUGGGGCCAUCCAUGGAAGAGUUCCUCUCAUUCCACCAGAAACCAUGGUGGCUUGUUUCAUCUUUGAUAAACCAAAAUCGGCAACCUGCAGUCAUUAUUUCUCUAUUAUGCCCUUCAUUUAUAUGCAGAAGUCCGUCAUAUGUAUUUCAUAAAUGUGUAUCAUUUUGCUUCACCCAUUUGCAUUUCAUAUUUAAAAUUAAGAAAAUACAUAUGGUAUUUUUUUUGCGGGGUAAUACGUAUGGUAUUUGAAUACUGGUGUUGUGGCAUACCUUGCAUAUGGGACGAGAGGGAUCCUUAACAUUCACUAGCAAGUUAUCGCAUUUCAGAUCGAAAUGGACAAUGUCCUUGGAGUGCAAAUAUUCCAUUCCAAUGGCGGCAUCCAUUGCAACAAGUACCCUCUUGCGCCAAUCGAGAUAUUUGUCCUUGCGACUGAGUACUUUCUUCAGAGAUCCAUUGACCAUGAAUUCUGUUACAGUAGCUAAUGUCCCCCCUGGCCCAUUAUUCACAACCCCGUAAAGUGCCAGAAUAUUCGGAUGGUGAAGUUUUGAGAUGAUAGCAGCCUCUCUCCAAAAUUCUGUUAUCUGCAUGAUAUUAUAUGUUUAAUGAUGGAUAUAUGCUGCAUUUCUGGCUUUCAACCCUUUGCAUUUUUCUAAAAGGGAUUAAGUUUUGUUCAGUUUGCUCUCUACUACUCCAGUUUUUAACAGAUGCAAUUGGUAUGGCUUACCAGUUUAUCUGCCUGUGAUGAUUGGUAUGAAAAACAGCUGUUGUUUAUCCGUUUAAUGGCAACAUCUGUUCCCCUCCAUUUUCCAUGAAAAACAGUUCCAAAUGCUCCGGCACCCAUCUCACGGAGAUCUUCGAGGUCAUCGUUGCUUAUUAUCUGCCAUUUGUAUGACAUCAACUUUAGGAAGAAGUCCUUGUAUAAUGAAAAAGGUAGGAAAUGUGUGCGAAUGAUAUUCAUUGAUAAAUGCCUUGCUUAUUGCUCUGACACAAAAUUUCCUAUGUCACAGACUACUGCAUGUGAAGUUAAUUACAAACCUGGACAUUACUCAUAAGAUCUCUGCCCAACACUGCAUUUGCAGGCAGAGAUUUUUCACUGCUCUUGGUUUCACGUAGCUGAGAGUAGAAGACAAGUCAGAAGUUAUACGGUGAAUCGUUUUCAUCAUAUUGUACCAUUUGAAACAUGGGGUGCAGAUAUGAUGACAUACCUCAGCCUCUGGGAUUGAUGGUGCAGCAUUUUCUUCAGCUUCAUGCAAUGGAGCUCUGAUUUGAGGAUUAAUGAUGCCAGUGCCAACCGAGCGAAAUCGAGUGAUUUCUGAUGAAUGCUCAUCUGUUGUUGGACUGCUGGGUCGUUCUUGUAUUGUAUCACUCGAAGCACGUACAAGAGUAUUUGGUUGCAGAUUUAUCCUUUUGUCUAAAGGUGUAGAAGCAAAAGGAAGUACCGAUGUUGCAGGACCUGCAGGUUGGUUCUUCUGGAUGCUGUUGGUUGGAACUGACCUCUCCGGAUACUGCAAGUUUGCACUGACGUUGCCGCCAGGACUAGUGGAUUCAUGACUAGGUUCAGAUAUCUCCAUCCUGUUGUGCGGCUGGAAAUUAGUGUUCUUCCUUAGUGAAUUUGAUGGCUGCGUCGUCACACUACUGUUGUCCAAUGGUAUCUGAAGCUGUUUCCUUGGUGAUAUUUUUUCCUGUGCCCCAGUAGUUCUGUAAGUGUCUGUGGUAGUCUGUUGAUGCUGCACCGUGGAUUCAGAAGGCGCAGAUGCACCAGGGGAAGCUUUACUAGUCUUUCUGGCUGCAGAGAUCAUGCUAUCUUCGUUACCUUGUGCCUUAUAAUACUGGUUGAUCAUCCGUCUCUGGGUACUUGGGGGAGUCCUCUCCAGCUGACCACCUGCUAUCACUGGCGGUACCGCGAUGCUCUGCAAGGGCUUGCUUUUGAUGGGCACUGAAGCUUCCUCUGUUCUGCCUGCCGGCGGCCCUGCUUCCACACCGAUGCCAAACAUCAGCUGGUCCAGGUCAUUGGCCGAGGAUCUACCGAUGCUGUGUGCUCUCAGCUCAUAACCUGGUGUGGUGAUGAUCCCAUUGACAAGAGCGAUGAACUGCGCCUCUUUCUCGGCAUCGGAUGAGCCUUGUACCACGAAACGCAUGUGGCGCUCAUCGUCCUUGCGAGAGAAGAGGUACAUGUUGAUCAUUUCUCUGUUUUCCUCUAGCACAAUGCACUCAUCAAUCAUAUGCCGGAGGUCAUCAUCGGAGGUGAUGGAGAUGAGCAUGCUCAGUUGCUCCCCUGGUAGGUGGUACUUUAUUGUGUGGGCUCUCCUUAUUAGCCUUGUUGUCUUGCUGACCAACUCUUGCCAAGAAAUGUCCCGGCUAAUUUUCAUCAGAUGCCUGUCACCACCGAUGUACCGGAGCUCGCCGUCGCUUGGCCUUGGCAAGAAAGUGCCACCGAAGUUGCAGAUAAGCUUUACCUUCAUUGAUUUAACAUCGUAGUAAUCUCGAGGGAGCUGUCUGCUGGUGAAACUCAGUGGACCAGAUGUUGGCGGAUUCUUUGGUCCUUUCAGGUCAGAAAUGUUAAAUUGUUCCACCCAGUCCAUGUUGCUGGUGUGGUGCUGUUCUCCUUGACGGUAAUCAGAACGAUGGACUACUUGUGUUUGCUCUCUCUUGCAUAAAUUCAGAAGAAAUUUCUCACCAAUCUGUCAGAACUAGCUCAGUACAUGGCGUUGGUCCUAUUUUACCAAGAACUUUAUAGACCUAGGAUAUACAGUCUGUCAGAAUAAAUUUCUCCUUUUAUUUGUGUUAUAACUUAUAAGAAUCUGAGGCGGUUAAAACUAAGAUAUGCAAAGAUUACAUAAGCUCAAGAGAAAAGGAACCCACAAUUAAACGAGAAGAAAGGUAACUAACCUGUAGAGAGUUCAGGCUUCUACUGGGACUCAAAACUUCAUGGUUGCCAACAGCUUCAUAUUUUUGCCUCAGUGCCAGUGGUGUUUGAGAUACUAAUAUGACGAACAGGUGAGUGGAUUCAGGUAUAGAAAGAUUGUUUCUGAGGGAAGUUGGAUUGGAGUUGGUGAGUUGCUGACUCACCUUUGAAGCAAUGAGUGGAUGGUGUCUGCAACACCUACGUUUUGUUACUAACAAUAUUUGUCAUGUGGACUGUUGAACAAGAUUCCAUCAUCAGCUGCCACUUAACCUGGGGCAAGGGGCGGCCCCUGAAACCUUUGUUGUCGUUGUCAAAUGGCAACAGGAUAUGAACCAUCGUCACUAUAUGGCCGCCCAUAGCCCAGUUGCAUUUGUCAUUUUGUUUCUUCUUCUUCUUUAAAAUGGGGCCGUCCCUGCUGAAACUUGGCUUCCGGUUGUUGAUAACAUAUUUAUUAUCAAAUACGCAUGUUGCAGCUGCAGGCGAGGAGUGGCUGUCAUGCAUUGGUAUUCUAUAAGGUUGAAAGCUUGAACGUUUCUUUCCCAGGUAAAAGUAAUGUUUCUGGUUGACCUAUGACUUUUUUACCAACAGUCUCAACAUUUGUUCUCCUUUCACUUUUGUAUCGAUUGUGUUAUCUUGGACGUAGUUUUCUUCGUUGUUACUUUGUUAGCUAACUAAGAAUGGAAGAAUGGUACUCCUCCUUUGGCUGCUUUGCUCCAUUCUUUUACGGUAGAUGAUUAUCACAUUAAAUACGCGAUUCCACUGCCAUCUCUUGGGAUUCCUUUCGUACUAUGUUAUUUGCUCCAAAAGGCGUUACCUGAGGAAUAUCGACAAAAAGAGGUGCGUGAGCGCGGUAAAAUCUUCUUGGCCCAUUAGGUCCACUUUUGUAUCGUUUGUGUUAUCUUCGACGUAGUUUUCUUCGUUGUUACUUUGUUAGCUAACUAAGAAUGGAAGAAUGGUACUCCUCCUUUGGCUGCUUUGCUCCAUUCUUUUACGGUAGAUGAUUAUUAUAUUAAAUACGUGAUUCCACUGCCAUUUCUUGGGAUUCCUUUCGUACUAUGUUACUCCCUCCGUUCCUUGAUAUAAGGUGUAUAGAUUUUUUUUAAAAAGUUCAAAAUAUAAGGUGUCUUGCGUUGCACCACUCUUUUGAAUAAUUUUUUAGGGAUUUGAUUACAUUUACUUAUAUUAGGCAAACUCCUCUAUUUUCUCAUGUCAAUUAGUCAGGUGUAAUCUCGCCCAAAACUUGUGAAAUUUUCACUCCACGUGCGUUCUUUAAUUUUCGUGCCAAAAACUAUACACCCUAUAUUUAGGAACGGAGGGAGUAUUUGGUAAAAUCUCACAAAGCCUACCAUGUUGGCACAAAAUAACUGUCAAAAUCAUCACAUAAUUUGGACCCAUCGGCAAGGUGUAGGAUCGAUUUCCCCAUUGGUCACCGCACCAUUGAUGUCGAGUAGGUUAUGGACGAACAGACGAAGCUGGUAAUUGAGGCAGCAUCACUGAUAGUUGUGAUUCAUGCAUGGCUUAUGUUGAUCCACAAGAGAGUUGUUCGUCGCAGUGACAAGCCUGUUAUCUGUUAUGCUCCAAUGUUAACCCGGGAUCAAGAAAGGAUAACAAAUCUGAACUACAUCUACAACUGAAGUGAAACAAAGGCUUUGUGGAUACUAAGAAUGAAAAGAGCACCUUUAGCCAGGCUUGUGCAAACCUUCAGGAGUAGGGGGCUGCUACAAGAUAGCAUUCACACCUAUGUGGAAGAGGAAGUUGCCAUGUUUCUCCAUGUUGUCGGUCGUAACCAGAGGUUCAGGGUUCCACAACACGUUCAGGAGAUCAAUGGAGACCAUUUCCAGGUACUUCAGGCAAGUGUUGUAUGCUCAUGGGUAACUUGGAGGAAAGAUGAUCAGGUCACCAACCGUCCGGACUCCUAGCAAGAUUCGCACUAGCCCAAGAUGGUAUCCAUAUUUCAAGGUGAGCACUAACAAUAUGUAGUUCAUGCCUUGACAUGCUUCUAUUAUUAUGCUAUAGCCAUAACACAAUCUUGUAAUGCCAUUUCAGGGUUGCAUUGGGGCAAUAGAUGGUACUCAAGUCACUGCUAGAGUGCCCAGGUCAUAGUUUGCAACAUACAGGGGGAGAAAGCACUACACAAGUCGGAAUAUUCUUGCUGAUGUUGACUUCGAUCUGAAGUUCACAUAUGUGUUGGCUGUCUGGGAAGGACCAACACAUGAUGCUAACAUUCCAAGUUACAACAUGACUAGACCUGAUGACAUUAAUAUCCCCGAUGGCAAGUUCUACCUAGGAGAUGCUGGCUAUGCAUGUCGGCCAGGUGUUCUUCCACCCUUGAGGAAAACCAGGUGCCAUCUGAAUGAGUUCUUUGGUAGGAACUAUCCUAGGACUCCAUAGGAAUUGUUUAAUACCAGACACUCCUGUUGGGAAACGUUGCAUGGAAAACAAAAAAAAAUUACGCACACGCAAGAUCUAUCCAUGGAGAUGCAUAGCAACGAGAGGGGAGAGUGUGUCUACGUAUCCUCGUAGACCGUAACCGAAAGCGUUUAGUAACGCAGUUGAUGUAAUCGAACUUCUUCGCGAUCCAACCGAUCGAGUACCGAACGUACGCCACCUCCGUGUUCAGCACGCGUUCAGCUCGGUGACGUCCUCCGCCUUCUUGAUCCAGCAAGACGGCGAGGUAGAGGAUGAGUUUCGGCAGCACGACGACGUGGUGACGGUGAUGAUGAAGUGAUCUCCGCAGGGCUUCGCCUAAGCACUACGAAAAUAUGAUCGAGGAUGUAAACGGUGGAGGGAGACGCUGCACACGGCUAAGCAAUUGUUCUAGGUGUGCUAGGCGCCCCUCCCACAUAUAUAUAUAUAUAGGUGGGAAGGAGAGGGAGAGGCCAAGGGGCACCCCAAGUAAGCCCGAAUCCUACUUGGGCUUGCCCUAGGCCGCCCCCUUUCCUUCUUUUGGCGUCAAUGGGAAGGAAGGAGGAGGUGCCCCCCUUCCUUUCUCCCACAAGGGGGGGAAGGCAGGAGGAGGUGGCCCCCCUUUCCUUCUUUUAGGGCCGGCGGCCAGGGAGAGGGCGCGCCAGCCCCUCUGUGGGCUGGUAUGCGCCUCUCCUUGGCCCAUUAGGCCCAUAGACCUCCCGGAACCCCUUCCGGUGAUCCGAUGACUACUCGGUGCACUCCAAAACUAUUCUGGUGUCCGAAUACUGCCGUCCUAUAUAUCAAUCUUUACCUCUCGACCAUUUCGAGACUCCUCGUCAUGUCCAUGAUCUCAUUCACGACUCUGAACAACAUUCAGUCACCAAAUCAUAUAACUCAUAUAACACUAUAUCAUCAACGAACGUUAAGUGUGCGGACCCUACGAGUUCGAGAAUUAUGUAGACAUGACCGAGACACCUCUCCGGUCAAUAACCAAUAGCGGAACCUGGAUGCCCAUAUUGGCUCCUACAUAUUCUACGAAGAUCUUUAUCGGUCGAACCGUUAUGACAACAUACGUAAUUCCCUUUGUCCAUCUGUAUGUUACUUGCCCGAGGUUCGAUCGUCAGUAUCUUCAUACCUAGUUCAAUCUCGCUACCGGCAAGUCUUUUUACUCGUUCCGUAAUACAUCAUCUUGCAACUAACUAUUUAGUCACUUUGCUUGCAAGGCUUCUUAUGAUGUGUAUUACCGAGAGGGCCCAGAGAUACCUCUCUGAUACACGGAGUGACAAAUCCUAAUCUCGAUCAAUGCCAACUCAACAAACACCUUCGAAGAUACCUGUAGAGCAUCUUUAUGAUCACCCAGUUACGUUGUGACGGUUGAUAGCACACAUGGUAUUCCUCCGGUAUCCGGGAGUUGCAUAAUCUCAUAGUCGAAGGAAUAUGUAUUUGACAUUAAGAAAGCAAUAGCAAUAAACUGAAUGAUCAUAUGCUAAGCUAAAGGAUGUGUCUUGUCCAUCACAUCAUUCUCCUAAUGAUGUGAUCCCAUUAUCAAAUGACAACUCAUGUCUAUGGUUAGGAAACCUUAACCAUCUUUGAUCAACGAGCUAGUCUAGUAGAGGCUCACUAGGGACACGAGAUUUGUUUAUGUAUCCACACAUGUAUUUAAGUUCUUAGUCAAUAUAAUUAUAGCAUGAAUAAUAAACCUUUAUCAUGAUUUAAGAAAGUAAUAAUAACUAUUUUAUUAUUGCCUCUAGGGCAUAUUUCCAUCAACUCUAGCCUUCGAGUUAUGGUUGAGAGUGCAUUUGGAGCUCUGAAGAAUAGGUUUAAGAUCCUGGAUCAGAAUCCACCGCACACUUUCCCCAUUCAGAUUAAGUUUGUUCUUACUUGUUGCAUUCUGUAUAACUGGACCCUAUAAUGGGGUUGUGCUGAACUGGUGUCGGGGGAGGAAGAGGUGAUGCCUGACGAUGUUGUCAGCUCCGGCCAUGGCGUGGAGGCAUUUGACAACGAAGCUUGAAAGAGCAAAAGGAUGAAGUGGGCACAGUCAAUGUGGGAUAAAAGAGGCCAGACAAGGAUCUGAAGAAGAAGAAGACGAGCAACAGUAGUAGAAGAAGAAGAACUGCGAUUUGUUUCCUAGCUAGGACCGAAACUAUAUCCACACCACUAGUGAGAAAUUGUGAUAGUACCUUAUGCAGUUUGCAACCAAAUACCGUGUAGUUUGUGCACCCAAAGCACCGCAAGAAACCAAACGGGAGGUCAAUAUUUGUUCCCUUGUGCAACCAGCCUAUAUGCGGACAACCAAACUAUAAGUAGAUGCUGGUUUUUGGCCGCUUUAUCUCAGCCAGGCCCAACUGAGGCACACACGCAAAGAGGCAAAAAAAGUGCAGAUAACUAAACACAUCCAAUACAACUCGCCCUAAGCAAAGUGAUUGAAUAGUUUGAUUGUAAAGCCAGAGAUAGGGGAUGGGGCGGGCACAUAUCAAAUCUUACUCAAGAUGAUGCGUCGACUCUGUCUCUCGCAGAUGCUCAUAGGGGAUGGGGUGUGUGUGCGUGCGUUCAAAAAUGUGAGUGUAUGUGCAUAUGUAUGAGCGUGUGUAUUGUGCUAAAAGAAAUGGUACUAUACCCCCGAGUUGGAACAUGAUCUCAGAAUUCAAAAGUAUUGCAUUCCGCUGCCCCGCGGGCACGGCACGGUGUUUUCCAUUACGAUCUCUGGUUUGGCAGCAGCAAACACCAAUUUGGUCUCAGGAGAGUCUCUCCUCCAGCACCAAACACCAGAACCAGAACGGGCAGCUGCGCACGUUCCCCAAUCCCUCUCCCACCACCCACCUACCCAAAUCCCAGCCUUUCUAAAACCCUAGGCCGCCGCCGCCGUCCAUCGGUCGCACCUCCUUGCAGCGUCCCCGCUCGGGGGGCCGCGACAGCUGGCGGUCCUCCACGGUCCGCAUGGCAUUCCGCGAGGAUGGCUCGUCCAUGGCCAUCGUGGGCGCCACUAGCACGGUGGGGCGGGAGUUCCUGUGCGUCACCACCGAAGCAAAUAUCUCUUUUAAAUGAAAUACCUCGGUUUAAACAAAGGUGAAAUGAGUGUAAAAAUAUCACUCAUCAGGACAUGGAUGUGGGACUAUUUCCUUCGCCAUUGACCUGGGGCUUCACUUCCGUGGCUCAUGGUCGAAGCUUCACUUCUCGGGGCUCACGGCCGGAGCUUCACUUCCCGGUCCGCGAAGAUUUAUACCAGGUUUAACUUUUGUUUAUGUUAAAAAUUUGCCAUGUCCGCUUUUGUUUAAUGAAAUAUGUCAGAAAUGAAAUGAAUGUGUUUCGGUUUAAAUCAUCCGGUUUGCAUGAAAAUCGUUCAGUUUGCUCAAAUUGCAUUUGAAAUGUGUCAGCAUGGUCCGCGGUGGAGAUGCCCUUACUCUCCAUCCUUUAGAAGAUCCAUAAAUGCUAGUGCUUUUUUGAAAUGAAGUUAUGAGUCCGGAAUGCUCGGUGGUUAUCCUCUCCACCUAUGAUUUUAGAAAAAUGUGACCCCAACAAAAACGCAUUUUACAACUCGCCGUAAACAAGUGGUUGAACAAUUUGAUUGUAAAAGCCAAACAUAUCAAACCCGUUAGAAAUUAAUUAAUUAAUCUCUCUGUAAACUAAUAAAUAAUAAAAGAUUGUUUAUACCCCCUCCCUCCAACAGUAUGUGAGAGCGUUUUGGACACUACUAGUUCAUGGAGGAAGUAAAAAAAUUCUUUGCUUAGAGCAACUCUAAUGAGGCGACCCAUUUCAUUCGCGGCCGUCCGUUUGGGUCGGGCGGACAGAAAAGGCGGCACAAUGCGCCGACCCAAACGGACGCGCGUCCGUUUUUCGUCCGCGGGCGACCCAUUUCCGGCUCAUUUUUGAGCCGGAUUUGCGUCGGAGCGGACACGCGACGGACGCGUGCUUGCUCGCCUACUCCUGUCCUCGGGCCCGCUCGUCUGUGGCACAUUGACCUUCCCCCGCCAAUAAGCAACCCUCGCCCCUGCCUCCUCCGUCACCGACGCCGCCGCCCAUUUUGCCGACGACUCUUCCAGCUGCCGCCGCCUCCACAUCCGCCCAGCAACGCCGCCCCUGCCCUCGGUCGCCCGCCGUCGCCGUUUUGCCGCUGGGGAGCAAGCUGGUUCCCCGCCGCUGUUUCCCCUACGCCCAGCCGCCCCGCGACCAAAAAGACGCCUCGCCGCCCCAGCCACAGACGACUGACACGCUCGUCGGACGCCGGCCGGGCAGCUAGCUGGUCUGUGGGCGCCGCGUCUCCCCUCGCCGGCCGUCUCCUUCUUCGACGCCCGCAAGCUGUUCGACAGUUUGCCAAGGUAUGAAAAUGGACUCCGCCGACGAGUUCUUUUUCCAUAAUUUCCUUUGCGACUCCGACGAUUCGUCCGACGACGAGGAGGAGAUAUUGGCUGCUGUGUUGGUCCAUCACCACCUCAACAACCAGUGGCCGUUGUUCCGUGGCUCCAUUCCGGGCCACCUUCCGGCGUUGAAUCGUAACCGGGAGAGCGGGCAUUUCCUUCUCUGGAAGGACUACUUUGAUACAACAAACCCGUUGUUCAAACAUCACAAAUUCCGCCGCCGGUUCCGUAUGAGUAGGCAUGUUUUCAACCGUAUUAGAGAGUGAGUGAUCGGCUAUGAUGACUACUUCGAGUGCAAAGAGGAUGCCGUCGGCAAGAUUGGUUUCUCCUCUUAUCAGAAAUGCACUGCCGUCAUCCGAAUGCUUGCAUACGGAGUGCCCGGUGAUCUCAUUGACGAGUACGUCCGUAUGAGCGAGUCUACAUGCCUAGAGUCCCUGUAUAAGUUUUGCAAGGCUGCGAUUGAUGUGUUUGGCCCUGAGUACUUGAGAGAGCCGACAACUGAAGAUACAACCCGUUUGUUGGCGAUGAAUGCUAGCAGGGGCUUCCCCGGGAUUCUUGGCAGCAUAGACUGCAUGCACUGGGAGUGGAAGAACCGCCCUUCUGCUUGGCAAGGGCAGUAUAAGGGACAUGUCAGGGCUUGCACUGUCAUACUAGAGGCCGUGACGUCUCAAGAUCUCUGGAUAUGGCACUUUUUCUUUGGCAUGGCUGGAUCACACAAUGAUAUCAACGUGCUUCAGCGCCCGCCGGUGUUUGCUAGGCUUGGCGAAGGCAACAGCCCACCGUGAACUUUACUGUCAACGGCCACACCUACGACAAAAGGUAUUAUCUGGGUGACGGUAUCUAUCCUCAGUGGACCACUAUUGUCAAGACAAUACCCAACCCUGUCGGAGAGAAAAGGAAAAGAUUUGCCCAAGAGCAAGAGAGUGCUAGAAAGGAUGUCGAGCGUGCCUUUGGUGUUUGCCCAAGAGCAAGAGAGUGCUAGAAAGGAUGUCGAGCGUGCCUUUGGUGUUUUGCAAUCUCGAUGGGGCAUUGUUCGGUAUCCUGCUAAUACUUGGAGCACGCAGAAACUAUGGGAGGUGAUGACUGCUUGUGUGAUCAUGCACAACAUGAUCGUAGAAGACGAGCGCCCGGAACGUCUGUACGAUCAAGGCUUUCAGUUUCAGGGUGAGAAUGUUGUGCCUGAGCAUGGAGUAGCGGCAACAUUUGAGCAGUUCACUCAGUUUCAUGAGGAUAUGCGUGAUUGAGAAACUCACGUGCAACUGCAAAAUGAUUUGGUUGAGCAUAUGUGGACUCAUGUUGGCACCCAAUAGAUGUAUCUUUUUUAUUCGUUUUGCAAAACUACGUGAAACAUUUUUUAUUUUUAUUUGGCAUGUAAACUAUACUAUUUAUUUAGGCGGACUAUUUUGUUUGUUAAAUUUUCAUUUCACCAUAUGUGAGAAUGCAAUGCAAAAUUGGGCGGCUAGCCGGCCACGCCUGCACAUAUGAGUGCGCGCUGCCGACCCAUAUGAAAAACAGGGCGGACGGCCGAGCCAAACGGACAAAAAGCGGACGAAAUCACCGUCCGUUUGGGGCGGCCAGUUGGAGUUGCUCUUAACCGCUUCAAGUUUAGCGACGGUCAUUGGUUUCCGUCGUCUUUAAUUCGCGUCUAUACAACACACCCCUUGAGCCACAUACACAUAUGGCUCUACAUAUAUAGCGUUUCAUCAUGGCCAAAGAACAACUGUUCCGUCACUUGCUUUUCUCUCUACCAAAACACCAAGUUGGAAGCUUCAAAAGAAAAAGAAAAACACCAAGUUGGAACACGAAUCAUCAAAAUUCAAAAGCAGCAGCCCGCUGUCCCGUGGGCACGGCACACUGUUUCCAGCGUUUGGCAGCAGCAAACACCAAUUUGGCCUCGGGGCCAUUCCCAUUCCCCGAGCACGAAACGCCAGAACGGGCAGCCAGCCAGCACGAUCCCCUCCCCUCCCCACCCAAUCCCCCUCCCACCACCACCCACCUACCCAAAUCCCAGCCGCCCUAAAACCCUAGGCCGCCAAACCCGCCGCCGCCGCCGCCGCAAUGCAGGCCGCCGCAGCCGUCCACCGGCCGCACCUCCUCGCGGCGUCCCCGCUCGGGGGCCGCGCCAGCCGCCGGCCCUCCACGGUCCGCAUGGCGCUCCGCGAGGACGGGCCCUCCGUGGCCAUCGUGGGCGCCACCGGCGCGGUGGGGCAGGAGUUCCUCCGCGUCAUCACCGCCCGCGACUUCCCCUACCGCAGCCUGCGCCUCCUCGCCAGCGAGCGCUCCGCGGGCAAGCGCAUCGACUUCGAGGGCCGGGACUACACCGUCCAGGACCUCGCGGCGCCGGGGGCCUUCGACGGGGUCGACAUCGCGCUCUUCAGCGCUGGCGGGAGCAUCAGCCGCGCCCACGCCCCCGCCGCCGUCGCCAGCGGCGCCGUCGUCGUGGAUAACAGCUCCGCCUACCGGAUGGACCCCGACGUGCCGCUCGUCAUCCCGGAGGUUAACCCCGAGGCCAUGGCCGACGUCCGGCUCGGGAAAGGGGCUAUUGUGGCCAACCCCAACUGUUCCACCAUCAUCUGCCUCAUGGCUGUCACGCCGCUGCAUCGCCACGCCAAGGUACCAUUGCACAUAUGUCGCCUUUCGUUCCCUGCUUUCUAACAGUCACACUAGAAAGUAAUGUUAAAUUAAUUUGGAAAAUGGGAUAGCUGAGACCAAAGAAAACCAAAGUCUUUAAAUUUGAAUCCUGAAAAAAUGACUAGACUCAUCUUUGAAUUAGAGAUGCUUCUUCAUAGUUCAUAGGAAUAUUUAAUUCCAUAUAUUUCAUUGCAUUUCUCCUAAUUGUGAUGCCUUUUAAGCUAUGAACAUUGCAAUUUGAUAGAUACGAGUACUUAAUACAGUAGUUUUUUGUGAUUUAUGUUAAGCCUGUCAAUAGGGACUUUCAUGAUUAGUUAUUCUUAUUUAUGUGUGCCGAUCCGCUUCAUAUAUUAACAUCAUUUUUAUUGUGAGUCGAGUAUUUUGUAAUGUAUAAGUACCGAUAUGUGUCAUGUAAAUGUAUGCUUGUUGGUUGCAUUUCUGGACUGACCAAAUAAAUUGAUGGCAAUCUUUUCAUCGUCAAUGUGGCAGGUGAAAAGGAUGGUUGUCAGCACAUACCAAGCAGCAAGUGGUGCUGGUGCUGCAGCCAUGGAAGAACUCAAACUUCAGACUCGAGAGGUGGGCAUUUCUCCCUUACUAUUUUGCUCGUGGUGCUAAAUCAGUAUAGCUACUGACACUGUAUACUUUAUUUAGGUCUUGGAAGGAAAGCCACCAACCUGUAACAUUUUCAGUCAACAGGUUAUAACUUCAAUACCUUGUGCGCAUGUUGAGUUGAUUUCUUACUGUCAUAAGACAUGCUUAAUUUAUUUUUCCUUCUGCAGUAUGCUUUUAAUAUAUUUUCGCAUAAUGCACCUAUUGUUGAAAAUGGCUAUAAUGAGGAAGAGAUGAAAAUGGUGAAGGAGACCAGAAAAAUCUGGGUAAGUGGAAGCUUGAUCAAUGCCCCAUAGGUUCUUUGCAUUACUCCAUCAAACUUUUCUCUUAAGUUGGCUGUUGAGCAAACAGAAAUGCCAUACUAACUCUCUGCUCUGUUUCUAGAAUGACAAGGAUGUAAGAGUAACUGCAACUUGUAUACGGGUUCCUACGAUGCGCGCGCAUGCCGAAAGCGUGAAUCUACAGUUUGAAAAGCCACUUGAUGAGGUUAGCAUACUGUAAUUGUGUUACGUAUCAGUUAGUACGUAGAAUUCUUUCCUGAAUUGUUACAAUCUCAGGUCCUGAGUCACUGGGUAAAAAUAUGUUUAUUGGCCUAGCAUGGCUUUGUUUUCCUUGUUUUCGGCAAGUAGAAUUGUAAACGGUUUCUUGUGGAACUUGUCUGUUGUCAUUGUUGGGUAGGUCAUUUAAUUAACUUUUGACACUUAAUACAAUUUCCAUUUCUUGUCCCAUGUAAACAAAGAACACACCUUAUUAGAUGAUCCUCUGUUCUUCUUCAUGAUGUAUUAGCUGUUCAAAUUCUGAAAUUGUUUGCAUAUGUUCUUGAAGGACACUGCCAGAGAAAUCUUGAGGGCAGCUCCUGGUGUUACCAUUAGUGACGACCGUGCUGCCAACCGCUUCCCUACACCACUGGAGGUAAUUGGGCAGUUUAAUUUUCUGAAGAUGAACAUAUUUGGAGCGGCGAUUUGUUUGUUUUUAUUCACGUACAUUCCACUCAUGAGAUUCCUUGUGAUCUACUCCCUCCGUUCCGAAUUACUUGUCGUAGGUAUGGAUGUAUCUAGACGUAUUUUAGUUCUAGAUACAUCCAUUUCCGAGACAAGUAAUUCCAAACGGAGGGAGUAGAAGACAGGAGAUUUGUUAUUUACUAACUAUAUGCUGCACACUCCACCCUUUCACGAAGCUACACUAGCCUGUUACUUGUUAGAAAAGUAGAGCAGAUUUUCUUUAAUUCUGAUAGAACUCUAAUUUUCAGGUAUCGGAUAAAGAUGACGUAUCAGUUGGUAGGAUUCGCCAGGACUUGUCACAAGAUGAUAACAGAGGGUACACUCACGUUUUACACUUACUGUUGUAAUCAUCUGUUUGUUAUGCAUCGCUUGCACUUAAAAUGUUCCUGUAUACCGGAACCUAAUCAGCUCCUCAAUGGCAGGUUGGAGUUAUUUGUCUGUGGAGACCAGAUACGUAAAGGCGCCGCGCUGAACGCUGUGCAGAUUGCUGAAAUGCUACUGAAGUGACCGCCUUUUUACCAUUGUCUCAUGUGCCACGUUGCUCUAUCCAUUGAUGGAUUGAUGUACUCUAGUCACUUUCAACCCAGUUUUGGUCGUCUGUCUUUUUUGUAAUCUGUCAACCUAGCAGAAGUGUAAGACGGGCUUUAGUCAUCUGUUGCACACAAAAGUGCAGCCACAAGUUUAGAAAAGGAGGGUUUUCACUUGUUCGGAUUUUGCCUUAGGUUGGUCUUUGUUGCAAGUUUGUCGUUUGUUUCUUGAAAGCUGGUCUGCUGUAACUUUACCCCCAAAGCCCUCGAGAUAACGAGGCCUCCUGUGGGGACCUAUAUGAAGGGCAACGUGUGUACCAUGCAACAAAUCGUUGGGCUAAAUGCUGUAACUUUUGAGGUGCAAAACCAAGGUCCGCUGUAACCUUUGCCCUGAAAGCCCCGAAAUAAAGAGGCGCCUUGUGAAAUCUAUAUGAAUUGCUUUGUGUGCCAUGUACGACUAAGUGUCGGAGCCAAAAGCUUGCACCGAACCUAUUGGAUGCAAACUGGGGGCUAUGAUUUCAGUGAUUUUGAAGCGGUUUAGAUGAUGAAGGUGCUAAAAUAGCUCUCACAUGUGGUUCGAUGCAUGUGCUUGCAUGUACCUUGUUUGAUUCAUGAACAGAAGCCUGGCCAGAUCAGAAGUUCUCACCAGGAGCGCCAUGUUACAUCAACUAAAACGUACAAGGACCCCGAUAGCUGGCGAACGCUCGCCAGCAGGGGAUGACAUUUGCGAACGAACGCUCGCCAGCAGGGGAUGACAUUUGCGAACGAUUUGGAUGGCAGUUUUAGUUGGAGUAAUGCUACACGUAUAAACGAGUUACAAGGUUUUACAAAAAGGGUUAAUUUGAUUGGUCAAUAGAUGGGGAGGCGGCCCAUCCCCCUGAAAAUCAGGGGGGAGGCAAGUUUGUGAUUGGUUAGUAGAUGGAAAAAAUCCUAGUCAGCGUAUAAUUGCGUGUAACUUUUUGUAUGUUUAGCAUUAUUGUUUUAGUUGUAGAGGAGGGGACGGCAUUUGCGAACGAUUUGGGUGGCAGUUUUAGUUGUAGAGGUGUGGCAACUUUAGUUGUAGGGGUUGACAGUUUUUAUUUUGUGAAGGUAUUCUUUUUGUGAAAACCGACACUGUUUGAUCCCGAUCAAAUGGCUGGGUUCGCUGGGACUUUACUCCCAGUGAACGGCAGCCAUUUAACAUUAUACCAAACCUACAAAGGAUAUAUUAUCACCACUUGACAGUAAAAUUUCCAGGGGUUGGCUUUUGUACCGGCAGGAGGAGAAUCGGGAGCAAUCAAAAGCUGGAUCCCACAUCUUUCCCAGUGCUGACCAUGGAAACUUUCACUGCAUCAAACUCAGAACACACAUCAAUUCUUUUCUUUUUUGUGUGUGAAAACAAACGCAUCAAUUCGAGAAUCAAUUGCAGCGCAGUUUGCUGCUGGCCUGGAAUGGGCCCAGGGUGGCCUGCCACUCUACCAGAUAUACACUCUGUUGCAAAACCAUUGCCUGGUGUAACCUUGGCUCUCGAGGGUAGGAGGUUGGAGGCACAUGAGGCAAUUUAACCAUAACAACAAGAUGUUGGAGCUAAAAACUUUCACUGAGCCUCGCCUCGCAUCCGCUUCCAAUUCUCAUCACACACAAUCAACCGUCUGAAGCAACCACCGUACCGGCUGCAACUUUUUUAACUGUAUAAACAGUGCAAAUGUAUUAAAAUGUUACGACUACAAACUCAAAUCACCAUCAGACGAAAUGUUCAUUGUCCCACGCAAACGAACCCAAACAAAUUUUUUCAUGCAUGCCAUCAACCCUUGAACCUAACACUACGGCUGACGUUCGGAUUAAUGCCAGACAUUUCUCCUCCGUAUGGACCGGAGGCCUUCUUCACGCCAUGCCCCUGACUUCUCCACUUAAGUCCCUGUUUCUCACUCUUAGCCCUGUAUUUCUUCCGUGGGUUCUUGAGCUUCCUGUUUCUGGAGCGAGUCAGCCCUCGGUUUUUCUCGAUCUGGCGCGAGAUCCCCCUCCUCUUGCCAUCUCCUUCGCCUUCUUCUGCCAACGGCCCGGUGAUAGGGGCGCUCUGUUCUUUGCGCAAGCGCUUUUCGGUCCUCUGCCUUUUGACAUCUUUGUAGAAUUCAUCUUCAGACUCCGACGCUUCAUCAUCAUUGCCCUUGUUGUCUCCACGUGUAUUGGUUCCUACCCGAGCAAGAACACGUAGUUCGUGUUUUCGACGUCUUUCACCAAUCUCAUCUCGCUUUGAAAUGUCAUCAUCACCAGAAACAGACUUGAACUGAUGGCCAGAAGAGGGGGGAAAAAGGUUAGGAAUAGCUACAGCCAUUAUAACAACAAAUAUAAGUAUAUAACGACAAUGGAAAGAACACAGAAAUCGAUAGACAAAGCACAAGAACUUGUUUAAAGGGUUGAUCUAGCUUUGCAUAUGAGCAAUAGUCAACAAUUAUAAAUUCAUCAAGUAUUUCAGAAGAUAUCUUUGGUAAGACAAGGGUUACAAGGUUUGCGUUCUAAGAACAACACUUAUAUGCACUUGAUAGCAUAAGUCAUUCUAUUAACAUGACAGAUAAUAUAGCACAAAGGCUGUUCUGGAACAGCAGAGCAGAAAGAUUACAAACUCUAACAAAGCAGCAAGAUUCAAGCAUGACCCAACAUUUUGACCCCAAAAAUGACCAGCAUCGUUGGCUAGUUCAUAUUUAUUGAAACAAAUGUUGAUAGGAAUGCGGAGAUGUGGUGCCAAGGUUUUUAAAGCUGGAACGCAAGCAUAGCUAGUGUCCCUGAGUGUAGCACAAUUCAUUAUUGAUAUGUUUUACCAACAAUGGUACUCAUUCCAAUAAUUACCAUGUCCUAUUAUAUUAUCAAAAUUCUAAUUCCCUUUUGCAGAGUAAGAAAAGUCCCAGUGCACCCGAGAAACCUUGGAAUCAAUAUUUAAAACACACCAGCAACUCCAAAAUCACUUAAUAAUCCUCAAAAUUCGCUAACAUUCUGGAUACAAUGAUAAUUCAAAUAAUGUAUAGUAUGUGGUGGUUGAUAAUAUCUGUAACAUGGCUGGGUGUAAGGAUGUAGUAUCAAUUCAGUUAAGGUUCUAUCAAAUUAGCAUAAGUAACAGCACGUAUGCAGAAAAUCAGCCCACUUUUGGCAACAACAAAAAAGAACAAUAAAACAUUUGAGGUCAAUACUUGGAUACUUCAAACUGUGUGUCCUGAUGAAACAAACAACUUGACAAGGAGCCAAAGUAGACCAGAAGACUGCAGGUUUUGUUAUCUCAGUGAGACUUCAGAUUUAGCAAGAAUGUAGGUUUCUAUCAAAUUACCCCCUUGCAGAAAAAAUGUGACAAAAGGAAAGUGGCAAUGUUAAAAAAUCGUAGAUUACCAACUAAAAAUGUAACAGAUAUCAACUUGGUCGAGAUCAGAAUGAUUCUCUAAUGUAGUGUUCAACUGAAUACUAGCAAGAAUCUACAGCAAGAAACAUAUGGUCAUUGAAAUUUCGGUCCUACAUGACAGUAUGUGUACUUGCCUGUGUAGUUUUGUAGUUAUGAACUUGUAAUUUGCACCAUAUGCAUAAAAGACUAGUUAAUUAAGGGCAGUUUGGAUCAUUAUCACAAGACAUUUAGAUUUCGCGCAAGUUAAAAAAAUAGCUAGUUAUGAAGGUACCCAGCAAAAAUAAGAAACCUGCAUGAAAAUACCCCAUACCUUGUUUCUAUUUGAGCCAGUGGCAUUCACCAGAAGCUUUCUAGGUUUGAUCACUUGACUAUUUUUCUGCACUUCAUCAUCAAAGUCAUCCAAUGUCUGCAGGUUUAUCCUAGUAUUGGUUGCCCUGGUUUUUGACAACUUUGGCUUCAACCCUUGUUCCUUCAACCCCUUCUCAGCCCUUUUUCCUUCAUCCUUGCUCUUCCUUUUGGCAAUUUCAUGGUGCCCAUUAGAAGGCCCAUUCUUUGUCAAUUUGGCUGCUUCAGCACCCCGUUUUACUUUGUCCAGAACCAGUAAAUUGCUAGAUUUGCCCUCGUCAUCAUCACUUUCAUCAUCGUCGUCUAAUCUGAAAUAUUUCACUGACAGCUUACUGUUCUUCUCUACUUGUAUCCUCCUUAUCUCUUCACAGUCAACAUCAUCAGCAUCAUGCUCAUCGCCAUCAUAGUAUAAUGUAUUUCCGCUACCCCAAUCAAAUUCACCCGAACUAUCAUCACCGGCAAAAAUUUGUUGGAUUGCCUUGUUCGCUCUCUUGAUUCUUGCCAUAUAUAUUUUGUCCCAUACCUCGUAACUAUCUGCGCCCGCGUCGCGGUGCUUACCUCCUUCGCUGUCAUCACUUCCAUCGCCGUCCUUGCCUUCUUCGCCAUUAUCAGUUUCAUGGCCGGAAACACCCUCGAGAUCGUUGACAGGCUGCACCGGAUCCUCCUUCUCUGGAUGAAUCGAGUCGUCGGCGUCGAGGGGGAUGGCGUCCCGCUGCUUGGGGAAGGCGUCAAUCUCGUCGCCGUCAGAGUCGGACAUCGCCGCCGCCUUGCUGGAUCGCUUGGACUGCUGUGUGUCCGCCGCGGGUGGCAGCCGUGUCGACCUCAGCCUCUUCCCCAUGUUGGGUGGCGGCAGGAGUAUCGAGGAGUCGGGGUGGGGGAGGAAGCGCUGCGCACAGGCGAAGAGGCUGGUUCAGGGUUAGGGUAUCUCUAGCCCAUCGGGAUUUUAAUUUUUUUUUUGAGAAUUAGCGCCUCAUUUCAUAUAGUUUUCUGGUAAAAAAAAGCUUUUCAUUGUCCAAUUUUUUCACACUAGCUAUCGGCGCAUUCAUGGUGUAGCAAUCCGUGUCCUAGCCGAUUAGCCCCGUUGCAGUUAUAAAACCCACCCCAGCAGCUCUCAAAGCCUAUUCCAUCCAAACCCCAUUCUCAUGAACGUCAACCCGAUUCUCCCUACCGCCGAAAUCGAGCUUGAGCUCUUCGUUGCAGCAAGGAGAACCGCCAUCACCGCCGGCCCCGAUUUGCCCCAUCCACGUUGUUGCUUGCCUCCUCGACUCCCUACUACGUGUCUCCGUCCCCGAGCUUCACCACCGCCACUCCGAUGCCCUCCUUCGUCGCCGACCCCUUCUUUCGUCCUCAGGCACCACCGUCGGCCCCAGCGCCGACCCCCUCAUCCAUCCUUGAGCACCACUGUCGUCCCCAUCGCCGACCCCCUCCUUCGUCCUCGAGCACCACCGCCGCCCCCAUCCCCGGCCGAUGCUGCCAUGGCGCGUUGACGCAUGACUUGGUAUGCGCAGUUCAUAACAGCGUGGUGCACCCAAAUCAUGAAGAAGCAACACACCAGCGAGGCUUGAUGAGAAGGGCGCAUUGCAGUUGGCCUUCCUUCAAGCUCGGACAAGGACAAGGAGGGGCAAGCCCCGAGCUCGGAUAAGGUGGCGCCCGUUUUUGAUUGGGCCAAGGCUUUGAACCCCAUUUGGCUGAAUGAGGUGGUGGUUUCAUACAUGGCGUUUGGUUAAGGCUGUGAUGAUGCAAUUACCUGGCAUUUGCUUUCUCAUGACCUAAUGUUGUUGUCACCCCAUCUCAGUAGUGGCGACCUUAUCACAAACUACACUACAAGCGGUAGCAAUUUAACAUCAUUUCAGUCCUAACCACCGAAUAAAUGACAAUUCAUCCUAAUAGACCUAGAUACUACUCCCUCCGUUCCUAAAUAUUUGUCUUUCUAGAGAUUUUAAAUGGUCACUACAUACGGAUGUAUAUAGACAUAUUUUAGAGUGUAGAUUCAUUCAUUUUGCUCCGUAUGUAGUCACCAUUUGAAACCUCUAGAAAGACAAAUAUUUAGGAACGGAGGGAGUAACAAAUAGCAGUACCAAAUUAACAGUCAUAUGGAUGGGGGGAAGGGUGGUUUAUCAAUGGCGAUCAAGGGGGAAGAUCAGCAUUCUCCUCCUCCUCCUCUUCUUUAGAUCCUUUUGUUGUCUCUAUUAUCCCACAUUGCCUCAACCCACUCCAAUCUUUUUCUCUUCCAAGCUUCAUUAUCAUGUGCCUCCAUACCAUGGCCGAAGUCAAUAUCAUCAACCAUCACAUCAUCUUCAUCUGGCACAUACUCAUCAAGACCCCUCUCUAGGAUCGAGUUAUGAAGAACGCAACAUGAAAAAAUAAGUUUAACUUGGGUGGGAAAAUGGUGGAAUGGCUAUCAAGAAUCUUAGCUAUAUUAUUCAAAGCACCAAAUGCCCUCUCAACUAUAAUUCUAAGGCUAGAGUGCCCGAGAUUGUAUAGUCCGUUGAUAGUCUUAGAAUAGCUCCUUGUAGAGAAUUCAUUAAGAUGAUACCUGAUUUUCUUCAAGGUUGGAAGAACCACAUGCCGACAUGCAUAUCCAAUAUCUCCUAGGUAGAAUUACCACCCGGGAUAUUGAUCCCAUCAGAUCGAGCCAUGCUGUCAGCAGGAAUGUUUGCAUCAUAGGAUGGCCAUUCCCAACCAACUAACACAUAUGUGAAUUGAGAUCAAAAUCAACAUCAGCAAGCACACUCUGGCUUCUGUAGUGAUUUUCCCCUGUAUGAUGUAGUAUGUGACCUUGGCGCUCUAGCAGUCACAUGAAUAUCAUCAGUUGCUCUAAUACAAUCCCGUGAUGGCAUGAACAAACUGGUAUGGUUCGCAACAAUACGAUCAUGUCAUGGCAUGAGCUAACAAUUAGUAUUGAUCACCUUGAAAUAUGGAUACUAGCGAUAUCUCGCUUGCAUCUCGAAGGAGUUUUACUAGUAGGUACUUUGAUCAUCUCACCUCUGAGCUCUCCAACCUCAUGCAAGACUUGCUUGAAAUACUAGAAAAUUGUCUCAUUGAAUCUUCCGAAUGUGUUGUGAAUCAACCUAGACCUCUUGUUAUGACUCGCGACAUGAAAGGGCAUUGCUACUUGGAAGCGACUUUUCGGUGGACGGCGGCUCGUGUGGACUGUAUCGGAGCCGUCGAACGAUUCCUGGAGAUGCACAAACAUCACUUCCCUGUCCCCCCGGUUCGAUCUCCUAGUAAUAGGGAAUAGGUGGCAUAGGCGUAUGGAUUUGGCACAAUUGUUUCGGGCCUUUGGAGCUGGACUAGUGAACUGCGCGAGCUGGUGCACAUGCCGCCGCAUAGGAAGGAGCAGUUGAUGACUUGACCUGGUGAUGUAGCCGGACGGGUGGUGGGCCAUAACGUAGAAACUUUUUGCACGUCGGGACGUGACAAAAAGUGACCCUGCCAUCUUUCCAUCAUGCACAGUGCGCCUCUCUCUUGCAAUUACUGCAUCCAGGUUCGCUAAUCAAAUAUACUUGGUUAGUUUAAUGUGCCGGGUAAAAGAAGAUUCAUAAAAUCUAAAAACAGUACUUUCAAAUGGACGGAUGCAUUGGAUCCUUUUUUUUCAAAUGAUUCGAAAAUCAUAUUUCAAAGUAAAAAAAACUGCAAAAACUUAUACAUAUUCAUGAUGAUCUGUGAAAUUGCAUUCAAACAAAGUAUGAUUGCAAGUUGUACAAAAAAACAAUUCCGGCUCAACAAUAAAAAAUUUGGCUCAUUUUCAUUUACACAUUUGUUUUUUUGUCUACGUCACGUGUGAAGUUAUAUUGUUAAGGAAAUUUUCUUAAAUGUGGUAUACGUGCAUUUGUGUAUUUCUAAAAGAAUUUGCGUUGCGGAAUUAUUUUGGAAGUCCACCAAUGCACCCAUCCACCAAAAGGCAUUUUUGCCUUCUUACAUACUAGGCUCGAAGAUGGUUUGCGGCAAAAAAACAAAUUUUGAUAAUACAAAAAAUUAUAUAACGGGCUGCACAGUAAUACAUUAAUCUAACAAACUGUGUGAGACUAAUUCUUGUUCAGAGUCCCAAUCAUGAAGAAACUUUUAAUGGCCGUAUGAAAACAGUUUAAAUCAUAGUUCAAGUAAAUACCCUUGAUAGCCAGAUGGUACUAACAAACAAUAUGGUAGUAGUAGUGUUUUAUGUGGUCACGUGUGUGAGCAGUGCAACAAACUGGGGCCCGCGAUCAAACGUGUACUACCAAGGUACAUCGGUCAGCGUCUACUCUGGUGCCUAGAUUCUGUGACAAAAGCUACCUAUGCCGGGCGGAAUACAAGGGCUGGCCGAGCUCUACGGGGGGACAACAUGCCAGAAUACCGGGCAUGAUCGGCUGAAUGGAGAUAAGGGGCGGCCAGGAUAAAGUCCGCAGAGUGCUCGUCCACCAUUAAGCAUUUUCGAUUGCUACUUGCUCUUUCACAUAGGCAUGGAUGCUAUCUUUUAGCAACCCACUCUUCGUAAACGUCCCCACAAGCGUGACAAAAGGGGCACUUCUUACUUGAAGCAUGUUCACAGCCUCUACAUCGCAGUGGCGUACCUAGCGGGUGGGCCAUGGCACACUAGAAUUUUGGGACAUAUUUUUUUACCAUAUAAAAAUUAGCUGAUUUCCAUGGCCCAUCCAAGCCAAUUGAAAUAGAUCUCAUUGUUUUUUAAAAGUGUGCACACACUACAUUUUAUUUCUAGGUCCAUCACUGCUGCAUCGUUACGUUUAUAGAUGUAGUUUUAUUCGUCAAUCUUAUCCUAUAUUGGACUAAAAUUGGAUCAUAGCUGAUCACAUGCCUGGAACGUUGACGAACCGCUCUCUUAUGUACCAACAUUACUUAGGACCGAAUCGCAACUAUGAGUGUUGAUGCUUGAGCUAGUAGCUUCAUCCAUUCGUUCCUAUUGAAAUCGAUGUUGCAGUGAGUAACGGCGAAAUCGAUCCUACACCUUGCCCAACAACCAAACAAUGGUAGGAUGAAGGGUGGUUGUAUGGUGCUUAUCUCCAUGGCAGACGAUGAGGACGAAACGGAGACGACGACGAAGGGGACGAGCAGGCCGUGUAGCUGACGGAGAGUAGCAUGUCCCGAUGCUAGCAGAUCUUGGUCCACACUACCGCCGUUUCAGAGAACUGAGGUUGACUUUGUCCUUUAGCCAGAGGUGAACGAGUAAAGUGGAGUGUGACAACGUAUUUCACGCCAUACAACGGCUGCAGAUUUUCGUCUCGUGCCAGCUCCGUGCGUGCUCCCCAUGUUGUUUCCCUCUUGCGCUCGCCUCAGUCCAGCUCCACGAAAACGAUCGAUUCAAGAAUUCCCAGUGAGCGAGGAUAUGGGGCGCUUUGAGUUUCAUGCGCAUACGGACCAACACCUCACAUGAACAAUCAAAUAUGCUCUUUUUGUAUCCACUGAGCCCGUUUAGAGUUAGUGCGAGCAACAAAACACGCCCUAUACACGUUGUGUAGCGUAGUGCAUCAACGGCAAAUCUCGCGAGGUCAAAAGUUUUCACCCGCAACAGGCCAUUUGGUGCCAAAACCUUAAACAGACCUGCCAAGCUCAGAUUUCAUCCUUCCAGUCAUGCAUUAAUCGUGCUGCCAUCUCGGUAAAUUUUCAAUCAUCCACGGUGAAAAACAGUAACAACACUGGGCGAGUAAAAGUCGUCUCCGGAAGUGCUUCUGUACCGGGACGAGGACAAACAGCCGACACUGGAUCCCACGGCUUUCCCAUCCGAGCUUCACUCCGGUGCCGGCCACGGGAACUCGCACCGCAACAGGCCGAGCAAAGCCAUCAACUCCGCCAUUGAUUGUAGCACAGUUUCAGUCCACUGACUCAGCGAGGGCGGUGGACGAAAUAACUCAAUCCCUGACGCGUCACAUUCAGUUCGUACCGCUGCUUUCAGACGAGGAGUAACUGAACGGAGCAAGGCCCCAUCCCAUCGCGCUCGCUGUCUUGCACCGACGCACAUCGAUCGCGUGCCCCUUUCAUGCUCCCUCCCUCAAACUAUGCUCACACACAACACACCACUCUUGCUCGUUACAUUUACCCAUAGAAAACAGAAAAGAACAAGGAAAUUACUGGACAAACUUUACUGAUGCAUGAUGGUUCAUUAUUACAGCACAGCGACAUUUUUGCCGGCAAACCAGUAGCUAGGCCAGCAUUAUGCAUUAUCAACACACAGUAGGAUCAUGCACCGGACGCUCAAGAUCAUGAUUUACACGCAUAUAAUAUAUAGUGGUGAUCCGCGACAUAGUACGACAUGAUUGAUAGGGAUGCAUGAAGUUCAGGUACAUGCUAGGCAGGCGCCAUCAGCGGCGGAGGGUGGCUGGAGGGUGGUGGUGGAUCAUGGGCACUUGGGCCUCUUGCGCGCGCCGUGGCCGGUGGUCUUGUCGCGGUAGCAGGGGCACUCGUCCUUGUUGCCGGCCGUCCCCGACGGCACGCAGUUGCACUCGGCGCAGCAUAUCCCGCAGUACUUGAGGCAGUCGUCGUGCCGGCUCGCCUUGGAGCACCUCACCCCGCACUUGCCGUCGCAGAACGCUGCUCAAGAGCACACGCACCACCACGGUUAACAUCAACACAGGGAAGGGCCGAAGAACUUCAGCAUAAUGGCGAU